rnacentral:lncRNA from 1 species
UUUUUUUUUUUUUUUUGCUAUAAGAAGAAUGUACCAAAUAGUAGAUCUUUGAGGGAAAAACCGCUUGUGAAAAAAACCCUAGUGCUUCAAUUGUGAGAAAACCCUAGUGCACCCACUCCCUUUAGGUCUGUGGGAAAGCGGUAACCCUCCCCUUCGCUCUUGCUUCCUCCAUGCUUCCCACUUGCUUACUUCUCUCCCUUUCUCGUCAUCUCUCCCAUAUCUUCCUCUUUCUUCUCUCUCUUGCCUUCUUUCCUUACUGGUUAUACUACUUCAUCUUUCACUAAUGGUAACUUGCCCCAUCUUUCCAAAUAUGGUGGCAUGGCCCAUUUAUCCACUGAUGGUGGGUCGCCUCAAUUACCGAUUUUUGGUGAUGGUGGGCUUAAGAUCGACCUAUAUUGGGCUUUUGAUCCGUCUCCUUUCAGUUUUCGCUCAUCUAUUGGAGAUUUUCGUUAUACUGCACCAAAUCCAAAUUAGCCCCAAAGACAUAUAAAAUCCCUAAUCUUUACACAUUACUAAGCAUAACUGCUAGAACGACGAAGGGACAGCGGUCACGCAAAGGCAAAUACGAUCGUUGGAAACAUUGGGCGGCGAAGAAGACGUCACACAAAGCUUGUGACAUCAGACAUUGCACGACGAAGGAAAGUGCUUUGUUGCAUGAAAUGAAUGUUACGCGACGGAUUUGGUGGUCUCUGCUCGAAACAAAGAGCGAAGUAUGAGUGUUCGUUGCGCAUGAUACUUUGAGCGACGAAACUAGGGUUCGACCACUAGACCCUUGCACGACGGACAUAAGUUGCAGUAAGAUUUUAAAAUUAAUUUUUUUUAAAUUAAUUUUAUUGUUGUAGACUUAUUUGAUUGAACGAUCUUAGGUUUUAGAGAGAGAGAGGACCGGCGGCAAUUAGAGAGAAAUGAGAGAGUGAUUUAAUUGUGAUGUGUGUUUGUAUCACCCCAUUGUGCCUUUAUUUAUAAUAGUAUGAUAAGUAAAAACCUUUCCCUUUAGGAUUACAACAUAUAAUAGGUAAUCAACUCCUAAUAAGAAUAUAAGAUACAUUCUCAUAUAUACUAGGAUUUACACAAUCAUAUUCCUAUUCUAAAUAUGACUACAACACUCCCUCUUGAGUGUGUAAAUACUCAACAAACUAUCGUACAAGAUCUUUGGCAGAUAAGGUAGAAUAGUUGAUGAAGUUAUCAGCACAACGGGUGAACGCGAGUCUCAAAUUUAAGAAAGUAUGCAUUUGUAGUAAAACUCACAAAACCUCGCUGUGGUAAAACUCAAGGCAUAGGGAAAACCCAUAGACUAAGGAGAAAAGUGAGAAAAAUACAUAAUGUCUAAAACAAAUGUCAAACAGAACGAAAGUAGUGAACUCAAUAGAGUAUGAUCAUCCCAUGAUUGGUGCCUCGUUAAAACCUCGUUAAGUAGCAAAAACACAGUGGGAAAAAUUGAUGCGAAAAUUAACUUAACACACAAAUUAAACCCUCUUGUUGUCAAAUUGUAGUACAAAUGCAAGUACGGAUCGUUCUAAACCGGGGAUUAGAAGGGCUUGCUAAAACCUCUAAACUGACUUAAAAACAUAUAAACAAAGUUAAAAACACUAAACUAGACUCAAAGAACUUAAAACAAACUCAAAGGACUCAAAACAAGCUAAAAACGCUCAAAUCUAUCUAAAAACACAAACUGGGCAGAUUUGGACUCUAACACACUUUUGGGACACCUAAAAACACAAAUCAAAACAGAUUUUGACUAAUAAAACACUUUAAAGUAAAUGGGGUUUUGGUUUUGACGAAUUUGAAAACAAAACAAGUAAAUUAAAGAACUAAUGAAAUCUGCACGAAUUUGAGUAAAUUGAAUGGAUGGAAGGCUAGCUAGGAGGUUCUUCUCCACACAUGACAUACUUGCACAUAAACCAAUUUUCAGUUGUUCUUUCGAUCAAUCAUGAAACUCAACACCCCAGGUUAAUUAAGUCCGCUUAAAUUAAUCUUCAAGUUCUCCUUAAGUUAUUGAAUUGGAUGGGAAAGCGCAUACAACAAUUCAAGCAUUCUUCAAAAGUUCUUUACGUGAACAACACAAUAAAGAUACAAUCAAAGAUCAUUAAGCAUUAUGAAAACUAUAAGUAUUGACGAGGCAUUCAUUACUAUGAUGAGCAUGAAACUUCUGCCAAGAAUUUAUUUAACGCGAUCGUUUAUAAGCGACCUCCACUACUUGUGAAUAUAAGUUUGUAACUAUUAGGUGAAACUCCCUUAUACUCUAGCAUCAUAUUCAUGCAUGCAAACUAAGUGUGCACUCUUAAUAAACAUACAGGAAUAAGUUAUCAAUCAAGCAGUUAAACAAAUUGAAUUCACAACUUAUGAAAGCACAACUGAAGGUAAUUAAAUCAUAUUGCAAGCAUGAACAUGGUUUCGAAUUCCCCCCUAGCUAAAGGGGGUUUAGUUCCUCAUACUCACAAAGAAAAGAUAAACAAAUUUAGACAUUAAAAAAAAGAAUGAAAACACCUAAAAACGCUCCAACAAUCCAACUUGAAUGGCAAGCACGUCCAAGGGUCCUCCUUUUUCUUUUUGUUGCGGCACAAGGUGUGGUUUGAUGGAUAAGUGGUAAAUUAUGGUGGUGGAUGGAUAUAGGUGAGUUAUGGUGAAGGGUGGAUGGGUGGAUUGUGUUCUCUCGGCCAAGGAAUGAAAGUGUAAGUGUAUGGAGUUGUGAGAUGUGAAUGUAGUGUCUUUUGAUGGAUCUUUUUCUCCCUCCCUUGUUAUGGUGAAGGGUGGAUGUAUUUAUAGGCUAGGGAGAGGACUACCAUCUAAUUAAGGUGGUAGUGGUGUAUGUUGUGGUAAUGAGUGGAUGUAAUGGGUGUAGUGGGUGAAUGUUUGGUAAUGAGUGGGUGUAAUGGGUGUAAUGGAUGGAUGUUUGGUAAUGAGUGGAUGUAAUGGGUGUAGUGGGUGAGUGUUUGGUAAUGAGUGGAUGUAAUGGGUGUAGUGGAUUGAUGUUUGGUAAUUGUAGGUCAACACACUUGCACACAAGCAUGCUGAUUUCUAGCCUUCAAAUCUUCAAAAACGUCCAUCCUCAUGUCUCCAUGCUUGCACUGUUCAAUUUUGGCCCAAAAAUGCUCCAAAAUUCUCCAAAUAGCACUUUGUUGCUAACUUUGUUAUUUGAACCUACAAACACACGAAAAUAGCUUAAAGUACUAAAAUAACUAGAAUUAAACUAAGUAAAUGCCAAGAAACAAACUAACUAAGUUGCAUAAAUAUGCUCCUAUCAAAUUCCCCCACACUUAGCUUUUGCUAGUCCUCGAGCAAAACAAAAGAAACAAAAUGAAACAAAACAAACAAAACACAACCUAACCUUCCAAUAUUUGCCUCAGGGAUUUCCAAUGCACAUGACAUGUUAAAAAUUACCAUUCCCACAGAUUUUGGUUAUCUUCACACUUGAGCACAAACUUAAUCACGGUCACUACUUACUAGUUCAAAAUUAACUAAUUAAAACAAUGUUUUGGAUGUAGUAACAUGCCUUAGAGAAUUUGCUCAAUUCCUUACAAGAUACUCUUUAUUUUCACACACAUUUUCUGACUGCACCCUACACUAAAAACUAGGACUCACAUAUGUUAUAACAAAGGAAGCAAUUUUCUGGAGUUAUUAAGCAUGUUUAGAUAUGAUCUCAUGAAUGGUAUGCUACUACUUAGAUGCGAGAACUAGUGACACCAUAUGCUCAUACCAAUUUCAAACUCCACAAAUUGAAAUGCACAACACUCAAGAUUGAAGUCAAGGGUUGUAACAUGGCUUGGGGGUAAUGGCUAACAAAGAAAGGAUAUGAAUAACAAACGUUUUUAAAGCGAUAGCAAGCAAAACAAUGAAAUAGACACUUGGAAUUCACUUUAGAAUGCAAAAUCAACUUUUACAUACAAAGGGAAGAUGCAUGCAACACUUAGGGCUGAAUUCAAUGUUUUGGACCCUUUUUUAACAAACAACACUUUAGAGCUCUUUUUCAUACUUUUUUUUUCUCUACCCGUGCCUUAUAAGGACUUUGGCACACACAGACACAAGAAUCACUUCCCCCCACACUUGCUUUCUACAAUACAUUGAUAAAAAAGGAGUUCAUUUUAGGUCAUACUUUACUAUGCUUCAAGAACAAGGGUAUGGAUGAUCCUAAAACUAGGCUAGGUAAGGAUAGUGUGGGUUAACAAAGAACAUAGGCUUAACAAGGCUCAACGAGGUUAAACUUAAACACAUAAUGAAAUAGGGGCACGACAAUUUAGCUUUGGUGGUCACUACACAACUUCAUCUUGAAUAUGUGUUAUGCAAAUCAAUAGCAUGCUUUGAAUGAAAUAGGCAUGAGUUUUAGCAUUUGGAACUAAAUGAUGAAACGCCUUCUAAGUAGCAACCAAGCAAAGAAUAAUGAGAUCAUGCAACGACUUUAGAAAACAAUGAUGCACAGAUUAUUAACUCUCCGAAUAAACGUCUAGGCUCAAGUCUCACAAGGUUGUAGCGUUCAUUUGAGUUCCUUCCUUCAAGCAUGUUACAAAAACUGAUUUUUCCUUUAUGAUUGCAUGUGAAUUCAUAAAUUAUAACCACAACCAAGCAUACACCAAAGAGUAAAUCAAUUUUCAUCCAUGUUUAUAACUCUCUUUAACAAUCAUGUAAUUAAAAACCAAAUCCUCAUCAUUGUGUUGGAAGGUACCAUAAGACACAAAUAAACACACAAAAACAACUCUUUUUGGGUUUUUCAAAACAAUUUUUUUUUCCAAAUUUUUAUGAGAUUUUCGGAUUUUUAUGUCAAAACACAAUAAAACACUCCUAAAUAGCUUAAAAACACUUAAAAACAGCAAGGAACAACACUGGAAGUAAUGGGUGAUAAACUCCUACGAAUUUCAUGCAAAACAACUUGGUUACCCCCCCCCCCACAAUCAAACAUUGUCCUCAAUGUUUCAAGCAUAAACUCACAUAAAAACAAGCAAACAAACAAACAACGAAUAAACAUGACAAGUAUGGUAAAGUAAAAACCAGACAAAGUAGAGUUUAAUAACGUAAAUCUGGUUUUGGAGAUAGAUGAUCUUGGCGACUUUCCACAGCUUUGAUCUCAAACUGGUUUGGAAUUCUGAGCGAGGAAUAUGAGAGUUCCUUGGUUUCAAAUCAGACUCCUUCUGUUGGGUUGAUUUGAUUGUGCAGUCUGCAUUCUUCUCUGCUUGUUUCUUCUGCACGGCAGGCAGGUAAGAGGUUGAGGUGUUGGUCUAUUUCUUUCUUCAAUCUUUCCAAGUGCCCACCUCUUGCUUUCUUUCUCCUUGUCCCUAGCUGAGGAUGAAUUGGCAAAUUGUCUCCACAUGCUUCAAGGUAUCAUUUUCACUUCCCUUAUUUGUUCCCCAGGCAGAUAUGGUAGACGAAGAGGAAGCAUAAGAUGAUGAAGAUGAGUACUCGAGAGCAAGGCUAGGUAAGCAAUCAGGAAGGGGUUCCAGGCAGUCGGUUCCAGAUCGGAAGAUUGAUACCAAGUGCUAGCUGAUUGCUCUCUUUCUCCUUGUCCUAAAACAAUGACAAGGAGAAGAACAGGGAGAAAGCAUGAUAUGAGAUACUCUUGCUUUCAACCUUUAUGAUAUGAAAUACUUUUGCUUUGGAUGAGUUGUUUGCAGAGGUACCCCAAGGAAUAAGGAACACUGAGUGACUCAAGAGGGUUUGUUGGAAAGGCAUUCUCGGAGAAGAAGAAGGGUUAUGUAUGUCUGUCUUGCAAUGGAGGGUGAAGGGUGACAUUUAUAGGAAUUAAUAACCAGUACUAUUUUUUCACUCUUGUCAGCAACCGUUGGAUGAUUUAAUAGUAAACUUCAGGUGCUUUAUACUUCACAAGAGAUCUUCGACAGAUUGCCCGUAAUUUCUGCAAGGCUGAGUGUGCAUGUGAUAGGUGCUGACACGUCUGGAAAAGUAAGUGCCUCUUCGAUAUCUGGAAUCGGCGAUUCGACAAACUACCCGUGAUUUUCGUAGAGCUGACUCUGUAUGUGACAGAUGCUGACACGUCUGGAAAAGCAGAUGCCUCUCCGAUAUCUGGAAUUGGUGCUUCGACAAACUGCCCGUGAUUUCUGCAAAGCUGACUUUGCAUGUGAUAGAUGCUAACAUGUCUGGAAAAGCAGAUGCCUCUCCGAUAUCUGAGUUUGCCUCUUCGAUCUCUGAAAUCCCGUCGAGUGCAGAGGUUGCAUGUGACAAGUGGGGACAAAUCUGGAAAAAAAAAUUGGCCGUGGUUUCUGAGCAGGCCCAGCUUUUGAGAAAGCUAGCACCUCUUUGAUUUUUGAGUUGGCCUCUUCGAUUUCUGAGCUCGCCUCUUUGAUCUCUGAAAUCCCUUCGAGUGUUUAUUUUUAUAGAGGUACGCAGGACGUUCAAAGCACACUUGAAUUUUUGCCUGUAGAAACUCCCUUCUUGGACUUCUACGAUCUUCACUUGUUCGACCUCUUCUUUCUUUAACACCUCUGAAAAUGUCUGGCCCAUCCGACCGUCGUUUUGACUUGAACCUUGGUGAAGAGGCAGUCCCGCCUUCUCCAGACAACAUAUGGCGCCCAUCCUUCAUAUCCCCUACUGGUCCCCUUACCAUCGGGGAUUCGGUGAUGAAGAAUGAUAUGACAGCUGCGGUGGUGGCCAGGAACCUUGCCACUCCCAAAGAUAACAGACUACUUGCCAAACGGUCUAAUGAGUUGGCUGUUAAAGAUUCUUUGGCUUUUAGUGUGCAGUGUGCAGGUUAUGUGUCUAAUAUGGCCCAACGCCUAUUUGCUCGAACCCGUCAAGUUGAAUCAUUGGCGGCUGAAGUGAUGAGUCACAAACAGGAGAUUAGAGGGCUCAAGCAUGAGAAUAAACAGUUGCACAUGCUCGCACAUAACUAUGCUACAAACAUGAAGAGGAAGAUUGACCAGAUGCAGGAAUCUGAUGGUCAGAUUUUACUUGAUCAUCAGAGGUUUGUGGGUUUGUUCCAACAGCAUUUGCCUUCGUCUUCUGGGGUUGUACCGCGUAAUGAAGCUCCAAAUGAUCAACCUCCGAUGCUUCCUCCUUCUGGGGCUCCGCCGACUGCUGAGGCUCCGCCGACUACUGAGACUUCUCCUAAGCAGCCUUUGUGAAGACUCCCUCUUGUAGUUUUUUUCUGCUUAAUGUUCCUUUUUUUUAUGAAAAUGAAUGUAAAAAUACCUUGCAUAACUGUCAAUGUUUUAAAAAUAAACCCACACCAAAAACAAUUAAACAAGCAACAAAUAAAAAUGAAAAUCAUGGCAAAAUAAAACUACAGAAAAGGGAAGGUUUUAGGAAUGCAAAACCAAUCGUGGAGCAAUUCAAAAAUCUUCCUUAUUUGAAUACGUGGGUUGCCUCCCAAGAAGCGCUUGUUUAACGUCUUCCAGCCGGAUGAAACUUCCUUCUAAACUUGGAUAGAGCCCAUAGCAUGGAAUUGAUCCUUGAAUGGACGGUGAUACUUGACGUGAUCCGGCAAUGGUUUAAAUUCUAGUGUAGGUGCCUGAAUCAGCAAGUUGGAGAAGAUGGCUUACUUGCUUGCUCCAACAUAAACUCAAUUACGAACACCACAUGUUUGAAGGUUGCAGAGAUAUGGGACUUGGCCAGAUUUGGUGUUUUAAGAGUUAUGACUUGUCCCGUGUCAUAAAAUCCAACUUCUUUGGGAAUUUUCGUCUCAAGUGUAUCUUCUUUGAUGAAUUCUAGACAUUCCCCAUCCACUUCUUGCUCUUGAUUCGUUGGAAAGGUUUCGAAGAUGCCUUUCUCACCCUCUUAUUCCUUGGAUUGCAUAAUCCUGCAAGGAAUAAGGACAUUUGGUGAAACGGGGCCAGGACAAAUUGAAUUUAGGCUUACCUUGGUUGUGGUGGACGGCAUAGAGGGUAUAUGGGGCUGCAGCAAGGGUGGUUCUUCCCUUGCUGUGGCCUUGUUAUUCUCCUCUUCUUCGAGCAGCAGUUGUUCAUCCAUGUUUUGGCUUGGUUUGGAUGUCUUGGGUUCACCUCCAACCUCCAUAGCACUUGCCAAAGUGAUAGCAUCAUGGAUUUCAAAAUCUUCCUUCAAAUUUUCAAUAGUUGAGUUGGAGAGUUCACUUUGCUCUUGAAUUUGUGCCAUGAACUCCAUAAUCUGCCCAAUUUGCUUCUCCAAUUCACCCAUCUUCUUGGCUUGAUUUUGCAUCUCUUUAUUUCCAUUUUCUACUUCCUGGUUCAAAGAGGUGAGUAACUUAUUAAACAUAUCAUUAUCUAAAGACGUACCUGAAUUGAAUUGGGUAGAUUGUUGUGGUGGCUGCAUAGGUCUUGAAUAGAACUCCUCUUCUUGCUACCAAUACCCAUCUUGUUGGAAUUGUUGAGGUUUUCCCCGCAUGUAAUCUGAAUAAUCUCUCCAAUCUAAAUUGUAAGCGUUGGAAAACAUGUCAUCCCAUGAUUGGCUAUGACCUUGAUAACCCCAAACAUCUUCAUUCGCAGCGAAUUGAGAACAUUGAUGAGUUGGAUAUCCUUGCCCAUAGGACACACCGUAUGUAGGGACACUUUGCAUUGUGGUCCCUUCGGCAUAUUGUGACAAUUGAGAAGUAAGUUUCGCCAAUUGAGCUUGAAUGGUAGCAAAAUCCAUGUCUUACUUCUCUAGUACCUAAAAUCAAAGAAACAAAACUAAAUCAAAUAUCAUAAGUAAAAAUAAAAGACACAAAUAGAAACAAAGUCAGUAACUAAAACAAAAGACAUGAAAAGAAACAUCGGGGGAUUAGCAAAGUUGCUAAUCCCCGGCAACGGCGCCAAAAAUUUGAUGCGAAAAUUAACUUAACACACAAAUUAAACCCUCUUGUUGUCAAAUUGUAGUAUAAAUGCAAGUAGGGAUCGUUCUAAACCGGGGAUUAGGAGGGCUUGCUAAAACCUCUAAACUGACUUAAAAACAUAUAAACAAAGUUAAAAAUACUAAACUAGACUCAAAGAACUUAAAACAAACUCAAAGGACUCAAAACAAGCUAAAAACGCUCAAAUCUACCUAAAAACACAAACUGGGCAGAUUUGGACUCUAACACACUUUUGGGACACCUAAAAACACAAAUCAAAACAGAUUUUGACUAAUAAAACACUUUAAAGUAAAGGGGGUUUUGGUUUUGACGAAUUUGAAAACAAAACAAGUAAAUUAAAGAACUAAUGAAAUCGGCACGAAUUUGAGUAAAUUGAAUGGAUGGAAGGCUAGCUAGGAGGUUCUUCUCCACACAUGACAUACUUGCACAUAAACCAAUUUUCAGUUGUUCUUUCGAUCAAUCAUGAAACUCAACACCCCAGGUUAAUUAAGUCCGCUUAAAUUAAUCUUCAAGUUCUCCUUAAGUUAUUGAAUUGGAUGGGAAAGCGCAUACAACAAUUCAAGCAUUCUUCAAAAGUUCUUUACGUGAACAGCACAAUAAAGAUACAAUCAAAGAUCAUUAAGCAUUAUGAAAACUAUAAGUAUUGACGAGGCAUUCGUUACUAUGAUGAGCAUGAAACUCCUGCCAAGAAUUUAUUUAACGCGAUCGUUUAUAAGCAACCUCUACUACUUGUGAAUAUAAGUUUGUAACUAUUAGGUGAAACUCCCUUAUACUCUAGCAUCAUAUUCAUGCAUUCAAACUAAGUGUACACUCUUAAUAACCAUACAAGAAUAAGUUAUCAAUCAAGCAGUUAAACAAAUUGAAUUCACAACUUAUGAAAUCACAACUGAAGGGAAUCAAAUCAUAUUGCAAGCAUGAACAUGGUUUCGAAUUCCCCCCUAGCUAAGGGGGGUUUAGUUCCUCAUACUCACAAAGCAAAGAUAAACAAAUUUAGACAUUCAAAACAAAAGAAUGAAAACACCUAAAAAUGCUCCAACAAUCCAACUUGAAUGGCAAGCAUGUCUAAGGGUCCUCCUUCUUCUCUUUGUUGCGGCACAAGGUGUGGUUUGAUGGAUAAGUAGUAAAUUAUGGUGGUGGAUGGAUAUAGGUGAGUUAUGGUGAAGGGUGGAUGGGUGGAUUGUGUUCUCUCGGCCAAGGAAUGAAAGUGUAAGUGUAUGGAGUUGUGAGAUGUGAAUGUACUAUCUUUUGAUGGAUCUUUUUCUCCCUCCCUUGUUAUGGUGAAGGGUGGAUGUAUUUAUAGGCUAGGGAGAGGACCACCAUCUAAUUAAGGUGGUAGUGGUGUAUGUUGUGGUAAUGAGUUGAUGUAAUGGGUGUAGUGGGUGAGUGUUUGGUAAUGAGUGGAUGUAAUGUGUGUAGUGGAUGGAUGUUUGGUAAUGAGUGGAUGUAAUGGGUGUACUGGGUGAGUGUUGUGGUAAUGAGUGGAUGUAAUGGGUGUAGUGGAUGGAUGUUUGGUAAUUGUAGGUCAACACACUUGCACACAAAUAUGCUGAUUUCUAGCCUUCAAAUCUUCAAAAACGUCCAUCCUCAUGUCUCCAUGCUUGCACUGUUCAAUUUUGGCCCAAAAAUGCUCCAAAAUGCUCCAAAUAGCACUUUGUUGCUAACUUUGUUAUUUGAACCUACAAACACACGAAAAUAGCUUAAAGUACUAAAAGAACUAGAAUUAAACUAAGUAAAUGUCAAGAAACAAGCUAACUAAGUUGCAUAAAUAUGCUCCUAUAAAAAAUGCUCCUAAUCGUAGGAAAAAGAGUACAUUAAGAUCAUGUGAGUAUGCUUCUAGAUACUCCCCUUGAGUUAGAUAUAACUUCUAAAUAAGAGAACUACAAGUGAUUCAACUCAGAUAAUUUACGCAUAUCGAUUCCUUAUACGAGCUUUUGAAAAGUAGACUUGGGGCAAUGACUUGGUGAAGAGAUCGGCCAGGUUGUCCUGGGAAUGGAUUUUCUUAACUUCAAUGUUCUGAUGCUAUUGCUACUGGUGUGAGUAAAAGAACUUCGAUGCUAUAUGCUUGGUGUUAUCUCCCUUGAUGUAUCAUUUCUUUAAUUGCUCGAUACAUGCUGCAUUGUCUUCAGAGAUCGUCGUAGGAAGGUUAAUGACUGAUGUAAGACCAAUAGUGCUUCGAAUAUGCUCCAUAACUUCCCUUAGCCAAAAGCAUUCACACAAUGCUUCAUGUAGGGCGAGAAUCUCAACAUGGUUUGAUGAAGUCGUAACUAGCAUUUGCUAGGUAGAGCUCCAAGAUAUAGCAGUGUCUCCAAUGGUAAAGAUAUAACCAUUUGAGAACGUGCCCUAUAUAGGUCAGACAAACAUCCAGCAUCUGCGUAAUCAACAAGGCGAGAAUCAAUCUGAGAACCAUAGGGGGCGGUAACACUCAAGGAUUCGUGGGUAUAGAACAAGCCCAAAUCCGUAGUACCCUUGAGGUAGCAAAAAAUAUCUUUAACACCAUUUUAGUGCCUGCGUGUGGGCGCAUUGUUGUAUCUUGCCAAAAGAUUAAAAUUGAAGAAGAUGUCGGGUUUAGUGCAUUGAGCCAAGUACAAUAAAGCCCCAAUUACACUUAGGUAUGGAACUUCAUGUUCCAAAAUCACUUCCUCAUCUUCUUUUGGAUGGAAUGGAUCUCAUUUAGCAUCUAGAGUCCGAAUGACAAUAAGUGUACUCAAAUGCUUCGUUUGAUCCUCAUUAAAACAUCACACCACCUUUGAGGUGUAUUUCGAUUGAUGUACUAGGAUUCCAUCCGAACAAUACUCGAUCUCCAGGUUGAGACAGUAUCGAGUUUAACCAAGAUCAUUCAUCUCAAAUUUCGAUUUCAAGUGUGAAGCAAUUUCCUCAAGCUCUGCGGGAGGCUCGAUGAGGUUUAUGUCAUCGAUGUAAACUGCAACAAUUGCAAAUCCAGAAUGUGACUUCUUUAUGAACAUGCAUGGGCAUAAUUCGUUGUUCACAUAACCUUGACUUGUCAAAUAUUCACUCAAACGGUUAUACCACAUCUGCCUGGAUUGUUUCAAUUUGUAGAGUGACCUCUUCAACCUAAUUGAGAGUGUUCCGUAGUCUGGAACUAUUUGAACCAGUCAAUGGAAGUCAUUCUGGAACUUUCAUGUAUAUUUUUGUAUCUAGAUCCCCAUAGAGAUACGUGGUUACCACGUCCAUAAGGUGUCUAUUCAGUUUUUUAGAACCUACCAAGGUAAUGGAAUGUUAUAACAUCCAUUACAGGGGAAUACGUCUCCUUAUAAUCAAUCCCAAGGCGCUAAGAAAAGCCUUACGCUACGAGGCGUGCUUUGUAUCGCACUAUUUCAUUCUUCUCAUUACGCUUUCUCACGAAAAUCCACUUGUAGCCAAUGGCUUCAAGUGUGGUGGUGUAGGAAUGAUAGGUCCAAACACUUUACGUUUUGCGAGUGAAUCGAGUUCGACUAGGUGUUUUCGUUCUUAGUUUGGAUCGGUUGACUCGGUUCUUGUUCAUUCGUUUUAGUUUGAUACAUGGUUCUGACAUCGGCAUCGAGUCAUCUGACUCGUGGUUCUUCAUCGAUCGGUCUAAUCGGCAUUAAAUGAAUUCAAUGCGCUAAGCAUGAUGUCAAUAGUUACUGAGUAUGUAAAUGCAUCGGUGACGGUCAUCUCAUUCCUAUUCCAAACCUUAUCCAAUACUACAUAGUGGACCGAAAUCUCGCGAUUCUCGGGAGGCUGGUAUGUUUUGUCUGAAGCAUCACCGUAAUCUAUAAUAACCUCAUGCGCUGGAAUGGAUGAGUGAGCAAUGGUCAGAUUCAAACUAAGGUCACUAGUUGGUGCCAUUUUCCUUUUCCAGGGUUGUGAAUCCUUUGAACCAAAAGGUAUGCCACGCUUCAGGGUUGGAGCAGAUGAUUAACUAGCCACCAAUAUACCUUGCAAUGUGGAAGGUGCGGCCUCCUUACCUUCGGGGAUGGUCCGGCCUUCCCAGGUAGGUUGUGGAUGUAUGCAAGGUACAUCUAUCCUUGCAGGUGCAUUUGUAGCAGGUAUAUGUGAUCUUGUCACCUUUGCUAGAUCGUUAAAAGCAUCCGGCAUGCUUUGAGCAAUGCUCUAAAGAUCUAUAAUUCGUCGCACCUCAAUUUCAGACUAGGAAAUGCAGGGAUCUAAAUGAGACAUAAUGGGAGCAUACCACAACAAUUCAUGGUGUUCUACAGGAACGUUAGCAUGCUCAAAUCCCCCUAAAGAUGGAAAGACUAUCUCAUCAAAGUGACAAUCCAUAAAACAUGCGGUAAAGAGAUAUCUUGUUAAGGGUUCUAAGUAGUGAACAAUUGAUGGCAAAUCAUAACCAACAUAGAUUCCCAAUUUUCUCUGAGGACCCAUUUUAGUACGUAGUGACGACACUAUUGGCACAUAAAUGGUGCACCUAAACACUCGUAAAUGCGAGAUGUCAAACUCGUAUCCAGUAACCAACUGUAACAGUGAAUGUGGUUAGGUAGCGGUGGGCCUCAGGCGGACAAACAGAGUUGCGUGCAAUAUUGCAUAGCCCUAGGCAAAUACUGACAAUUUGGCUCUCAUAACCAAAGUCUAAGCUAUCAAUUGAACCACUUUAUGAAAGCUUCUACCAGGCCAUUUUGGGUGUGAACAUGGGGUACAUGAUGUUCCAUAUCAAUCCCUACUGACAUGCAAUAAUCGUCACAAUUCUGUGACGUAAACUCUCCAACAUUAUCCAGUCUUAUCGACUUAAUCGGAUAAUCAAGAUGGUGAGCCCUUCGCUUAAUGAUUUGAGCUAGGAGUUUAGCAAGCGCAGUGUUGCAUGUGGACAACAAGCAAACAUAUGACCAUUGUGUUGAUGCAUCAACCAACACCAUAAAGUAUCUAAAUGGUCCGCAGGUUGGUUGGAUAAGUCCACAAAUGUCCCCUUGAAUCCUCUGAAGAAACUUAGGGGGGUUGUGAACAAUCUUUAUAUGUGAGGGUUAAGUAUCUAACUUCCCUAAAGAACACGCUUUGCAUGGCGGGAGUCCAACAUAGGGAUGUAAUCGAUGCCCAUGUGAAGAUUUGAGGAUACGGCGUAUCAUGUCACGUCCAGGACAUCCCAAACAGUCAUGCUAAAGCAACAAAGUGUCCUGGAACUCAGGCAUAGGGCCGGCCACACUGUGGGCUUUUAUGCCGCGAAUGGUUGUGAUGUACAACCUACUCGGCAGACGUUCCAACUUCUCGUGUAUACGCUUCUGGCCAUAUUCGUACGAACUGAUACAAAGAAAUUCAGAACCAUUAUCUUCAGUGGUUUCAAUAUAAUAUUGAUUAUCUAGAAUAUCUCUAAAACUUAGCAACGUUCUUCCGGAACAUGGAGAAUAGAGUGUCUCCUUAAUGGUUAAGAUAGUACCAUUGGAUAACAUGAUACGGGCCUUUCUGUAUCCUUCAAUCAAGUUGGAUAGGCCUGAGAGAGUUGUGAAAUGAGCUUUCUUGGGUAUUAAUUUAGUAAAAUACUAUCGUUCACGCAAGAUGGUGUGCAUGGUUGCACUAUCUGCCAGACAACUAACUUCUACCUAGAAAUAAAUUGAUUGAAUUGGUCACAUGCAUAAAUAUAAGUCCAUUCAUUCAAUUAAGCAAUUCGAGAAAAUAAUAUCCAUUCAAAUAACAAUCCAUAAUUCAAAACAAACCAAAACCAAACAAAUUAUUCCAAAUACUUAGAAAAAUUGUUCAAAAUGAAACCAUAAACCUAGAAAAAUAAGGGGGAAGGGCCGGCCAUUCCUAGUGGGUUCAGCCACUAGGGGUAAACACCCUAAAAACAUGUCUAAUUUAUUCAUCAGAUGCCUCCUGAAAAUCUGAUAUCCCUAUUGAUGUAGUAUCAUCUUCUGAAUGAUCCACAUGUGCAAAGUUAGACUCAUGACGGGAAUGAUACUUAACAAUAGCCUCGGGGGAAGCUCGGCAUACGUGUGACCAAUGAUCCCUUGAUCCACAGCGGUAGCACAUGUUCAGUUUAGUAGAAGCAGGCUAAACGGGUGCUUUGCCCUUGUUCUUGAAGUUGGGAGCUUUAAGGGCAAGUGGUGGACACUACUUGGUCACUUUUCCUCUCUUAGGUGCGGCACUUUGUUGACCUUGGGCCCGUGGUAGGGCUUGUCGCCCAUUGCCAUGGGCACGGCGAUUUUUUCAUCAUUUAUGGCUGCUAAAAUUGGUCCAUAUGCUUCAGGUGUGGCGUUCGAGCCAGUCGGUCGAGCUUGAUGAUUCUUCAUCAAAAGCUGGUUCUACUUUUAAGCAAAAAGUAAAACAGAGAUCAAAUCCAAAAACUUGGUGAAUUUUUGUGCCCUAUAUUGUUGCUGCAGGAUAAUAUUGGUGGCAUGGAAGGUCGAAUAGGUAUUCUCCAAGAGAUCUGAUUCAGUUAGUUCCCCUUUGUAGAAUUUCAACAGUGAAUGGAUUCUACAAACUUUAGAGUUGUAUUCAUUCACUGACUUAAAGUCCUGGAAACGAAGAUGUUGCCAGUCGUGUCUUACUUCAAGCAAGUAUAUGUCUUUCUGGUGAUCGAAACAAUCGGCCAAAGUAAGCCAGUGGGUGCAUGGGUCUUUCUCAACGAGUUACUUGGUCUGUAGUGCAUCAUGGAUGUGUUGUCAAAUGAAGAUCAUUGCAUUAGCCUUCUGAGCUUCAUCGACAUAUUUUUCGACGACAGGUGCCUUGAUGGUAGCUCUAAUACCCUUUGCAGUGAGAUGGAGCUUCACGCCUUGAACCCACUUUAGAUAGUUUCUUCCAAAGACUUCUAGAGCGAAGAAAUCAAGCUUGUUUAAGUUCGACAUGUCCUUAAAAUGGAGGGAAAAAACGUGAUUAGUCAUAUGGUAAACCAUACACAUAUAUCGUAGAACAAACAAGUCCUACAGACAUUUAUUGGUUUAAUUUAUGCAUAAAAACAACAUGUUUCAUGCGGUAUGUUUUGAAUGAAAACUUCGGGUUUCAAAUGCACUAAAUUUGAAAGUACAGGUUCAAUUUAGUUUUAUGAACAAUUAGUUCAUAAUGAGAGGUUUUGCAAGAAACACAUAAUGCAAUAUACUAAUUUAAAUAUAGUGGGUUUAAGUUUCUUCGGGAACUCAAGUGUGAGAGUUUCCUUACUAAGAAAGUAUGUCAACAGUUCAAAGUAUAAAAAUAAAUUAUUUAAUUGUUAAUGUCCAAAAGUGAUAUUCAGGUCAAUAAUUUUAGAUUCAUUAUUAGAUUAAUAGACUGCAGGUCACUUUUAAUUAAUUCAAUAAAUUGGGCCAUACAGGGUCGAUUGUAGAAGAAAAAUAAUACUAAAAUAAUAGUAUUGGGUCAAAAAUACUAUAGCCCAAAAAAUAGGGUUGGGUGCUGUAAGCAAAAGGGCUCGGAGGUGGGCUGCAGGCCACGGUACGGGAGACUUGGGCCCAGCACAGGGCUAGCAUGAAUGUGGCGCAGGAAACCCCAGCUAAGUUGGGUUUGGUUUGGGCCGUAAAGGUGAGCUUAGCCGCAUAGGCUGGCUGCAUGUUAUGCUGGUCGGGGCUAAGACAAAGCCCAACAAGUAUGACAGCUUGCUGGCGUGGGCCGAAGCCAAGAACCGGGCUGCAGGCCCGUGUUUGAGAACAAGCCCAGCAUGCUUCUGGCAUGCGGGUUUGGGCUCGGGUUGACCAGGGCUUUCAUGCCCGUGUGAUAGGGAACCCAAGUCGAGGCCUAGUUAUGUCUGAGAAGGAGCAGUAAGCCCAGAGGGCUGCACAAGUGGUCCAAGGCGUUGGGGUGACGCCAUCCCACGAUGGUGCCGUAAUAAAUCACCCAAUUUUUUUUUCUUUUUCAAAUCUAGGGUUGAAAAACCCUAAUUGCUUCUAAGUUAUGAAUAUACUUUGACUCACAUAUUCCACAUAGCAAAUAUAAUUGCGUAGUGCAUGAAAUAAAUAAAUAUAUUGACAAAUAUAUGAACAUAUACAAUAUAUAUAUCAUAAGGAAAAUAUAAACAUAGAGGGGUUCAUGCAUCAUGGGAAAUGUUUUUAUGCUUCAUGGACAUUUCAAAUAUCUUCUUUUAUUUUAAGCGUACCUGAUUAAUAGAAAAAAAAAUAUAAGCCUUUGAAUUUUGUGGAUGAUAGCCUCCUCCUGUGAUCCGUCAAUUCCUCAGCUUCUGGCAAGAACGUGCAAAUAGCAUGGCCUAUUUGAUUUAACGAUCUUAGGUUUUAGAGAGAGAGAGUACCAUAAGCAAUUAGAGAGAAGAGAGAGUGAUUUAAUUGUGAGGUGUGUUUGUAUCACCCCAUUGUGUCUUUAUUUAUAGUAGUAGGAUAACGUUUCCCUUUGGGAUUACAACAUUUAGUAGGUAAUCAACUCCUAAUAGGAAUAUAAGAUACAUUCCCAUAUCUACUAGGAUUUACACAAUCACAUUCCUAUUCUAAUAUGACUGCAAUAUUUAUUUAUUUUUUCCUUUUAAAUGUUGAUAAUAUUGCUUUAUGUAUAAAUUAAUUUAAUGAAAUUAAAAAUAGAAAAUGUAAAGAAGAAUAUUGAAUUAAAAAAUUAUUGAAAAUGUAAAUACAAUGGAAAGAAAUAUUUUAAAAUUUGAAAACAAUUUAAAAAAAAAAAAACUAGAAUAUGUAGUCGCCCACGUCACAAUCACCUACUAGUGGUGUUGUUGGACUGGGAGGUUGUGGCUGCUGCGGCAGAGGACUGGGAGGUCAUAGCUGCUGUGGCGAGGGAUUUGGAGGUCGUUGCUAGAGGUGGUUCAACAUUGGGGAACCGAAUGCCAAAGAUUUGAAGGGUAAGACGAAUUUGGUUUAUCAAAUUGCUUUGGGCCGCAAGCUGAGAUUGCUGGGCGACAAUCUGCUGCUUUAGGUCCAUCACUUCAGAUGUCAACGAUUUGACCUCUUCUGUUCUCUGCCUGAAGGAUGAGGCAGAAAGUUCCCGAAUGCGGGCUUUCCCAAGCCCCGGUGAACAUUCCCAUGCCUACAACCGAGGGUCUGAUCGAGUGUGUCCGUCAAGGGGAAAACACCUCUUGAAUCGGGGUCUCUGAGGGAAGCUGGGAAGCCACCUCUUCCAGAAUGGUCUGGCCCUUCUCCACCAUGGUGGACUAGAAAAAUGCAAUAAACAAAUUAAUUUUAAUAUACAUGUAAUUAAUAUUAAUACUAAUUGAAUAUUAAAAAAUUGGAACAACUUACAUGAAGCUGCUUUGUCAGCUCAUCCCCGUGCCGAACGUACACCACCUUGAACAUGUCAAUCUCAGGAAACUUUGACCCCCCUGAAUAAAAAAAUAUUAACACAUAGAUUACCAAUUGUGUAAUAGAGAGUAAAAAGAAUGAAAACUUAAAAUAAAUAUACGGUUACCUUACGUCACUCCUCCUACCUAUAAGAGAAGCGUCGUGAGCCGGAGCGGUGAAGAAAUUUCUUCUUUGACUGAUUGAUUGAGUUUGCCUUCACUUUUUUCUAUUGAAUUAAAAAAAACGUAUUAGUUUAGAUAUUUAUAACAAAUUACUGAAAAAAUUAAAAUAUUAUUUAAAAAUAUAAAAAUUUGAUUCAAUAUUAUUGAAAUAUAUAUUAUACUUACGAGGUAUUUCUUGUCCUGAAAAUGGUCGCAGAACCACUCUCAUUCAUCCCGGCAGUCCACCAACUCUAUAGGGCACCCAACUGUUAGAGCGACCUUCGGACCAUCAUAUUUCUCAUAAUGCUUGUGAAGGUUGCUCUUCCAUUGAGUAAACCUACGGGCACAAAGGUCGUUGACGUACUGGUUUUGAUUGGCAUUGAGGUUUGUGAGCUCAUAGUGAUGCUGCAAAACUCAAUAAAUAAAUAGUAGUUAAAAUUUAUAAUAUUUGUACACUUUAAUAAAAAUUUAGUAUUUGAAGUUGAAAAUACUUAUCGAUAAUUCAUGAAGAACGGCUUCCUUGACUUUAGGUGGGAUAGCUUUUCAUGACAGCCACAUGAGGGGGUAAUGAUUCUUGAUAACCGAGCCAAUGUCGAUGGCCAACGCACUGUGUUGCUCAUUUGUUGCAGCCGCACGAUGUCGAGGAUCCCACGUAAUGGUGAUCUUCUCGGUCGUGGUGCCAGUGGUCUGUGACAUCUUCAGAAGUCUGCAUGGGCCCCUGGUUUUUUUUUAUUAUUUUUUUUGAACUACCAAAUAAACAAAGUAAACAUUAGACAAAUUCUAUUUUCUACCGAAAAUUCGACUGAACCUCCCCUAAAACUAUAACAUUUCAUAAAACCUGUAGACAAUAUAACAAUAAAAAAAACACAUCCACCCAACAAUUCAUAUAGUUUAUACCAAUUGGGGACUUUAAAACAAAAUUUACAACUUGUAUCAAGUGUUUUCACUUUUAAUUGCAUCACUGGCCGUGAAUUUGUGAAGAGACUACACACAUAAUGGAUUGCACAUGUAAUUAUGUAAGUUGAGAACAAUAUCGAUGUGAGUAGUCUCAUCUUUUUGAAAUUUUAACACACCAUAUUUGUAACUUGAAAAAUAUACUGAAGAUUUUCACUAAUGAGAAAAUAAACGAAUAAGAAAGAUAACUUUUUAAGAGUGUAACCAAAGAAUGUAUCAACCAACUUUUUUAUAAAGAAGAUUGGGGAUCUUUUGUCAUCCACCAACAAAUUUCAAUAUCCUCAGUAUUUUGUAACUAAUGACAUUCUAUGAACCUACCUGAAAAACCAAAGAAUUUAAAAGUUUGAUUUUCACAACAACCAAAAAAACUUUCAAAAUUUCGAUUAUACUAUGAGAAAGAUGCAUUACCUGUCUGGGACCCCUUUCCAUGGACAGAGGAAGUCUCACCAGACUGCUAAGCCUCCUAAGAACUUUGGGGCCAUCGAUGAGUCCGUCGAGUGCUUAGUACAAGAUGCGUCACCGAAGAAGUCAAUGACGUAGAAGCUGUAGACACAGUUGGACCGAAAGGCGUGACUGGAGGGACACCCAUUGUGCCCAUAUCAGGUGAAGAGGUGGUAGCAGCACCACCUGCUGAAGAAGGUGUCUGACUGACCCUACUAGCUGCCCGGCGGUUUGAAAUUUAGUUUGACAUCUACAAAAAAAAUAAAUUAAAAAGUGACAUUCUACUACUUUGACCUAUUAAUAGCCAGGAAGCUAGAGAGAACAUAUUAUGGCUAAGAAAAGUGGCAGAAAUCAUGAAUACCAGAGAUUUACCAUCAGAUAGAAAAUGAGAGACUGACAUCUACAAGAAGUCAAUAAUGAUUAGCAUUAACUAAUUAAUCUGGUUUAGAUAUACUAAAAAAUAUCUUAACCUUGAAAAAUAAGAUGUAUCUUUUCACCCUUAGAUUAAUUUGUUAAUCUGGUUUGGAUACAUUCUUGGUUGACAUGAGUCCUAGGAUCCGAAACAACAACAACCAUACGAGAGAAAAAUGAAGAAGGGGCAUUGCCACCUUCCCCAUCAUGCUUAUGGAACAUGCCAUGCAACUUGUAAGGAAUCAAUGAAUGAUGGAAGAGGGCAAGAAUGUACUUAUUAUGGAUGAAGGUAAGGAUGAAUAUGUGUGUGUGUGUGAUGUGAAAAUUAUCUCACCACACAAAUUUAACCCUCUUUUAUCAAUUGUAGUAAAGAAUGUAAGUAGGGAUCGUUCUGGACCGGGGAUUAGGAGGGUUUGCUAAUAACCUCUAAACUGACUCAAAAACAUAAAACUAAACUUAAAAAUACUUAACAAGACUCACAAGACUCAAAGCAAACUUAAAAUACUCAAAACAACUUAAAACAACUAAAUAAACUUAAACUAGACACUAGGAAUGACUUUGGACGAAAAUUGACUUUUACUUGAAUCAAAACAUUUAAAAACACAAAUUAAAAUAGAUUCUAACUAAUUAGACACACUAAAGUAAAGGGGGAUUGAGUUUUGGACGAAGUUGAAACAAACAAACAAGUAUGAAAAACUAGACAAAUUGUAAAACAAAUUUGAGAAAUAAGAUGAUGGAUGGGAUAGCUAGAGGCUUUUUCUCCACACAUGAUAUGUAUGCAAACAACUCGAUUUCCAGUUACUACUUCAUUGAAUUAUGAACGACAAUGCUCCAAAUUAACCGUGACAUCACUAGUUAACUCUCAGAUUUUCCUUGUUUUAUUGGAUUGGAUGACAUCAUUCGACAACCCAAAACAUUCUUCUAAAGUUCCGUACAUGACAUCAUAAUAGAGAUACAAUCAAAGAUCAUUACAUUUAAUGAAAAUCAUAAGCAUUGACAAAGCACUUGCAACUAUGACAUCAUGUCACUCAUGCUAGGAAUUGAACUUAACGCGAUCGUUUAUAAACGACCUCACUACAUGUGAAUAUAAGUUUGUAACGAUUAUGUAAAACUUCCUUAUAUUCUAGCAACGGAUUUAUGCAUGCCAAUUAAGUGUCGACCCUUAAUUAACAAAUACAAAUAAGUUAUCAAUCAAAUAGUUAAGCCAAUUGCAUUCACGAUUCAAGAGUUCAUAACUGGAAUUUAUCAAAUUAUAUUGCACACAUAAUCAUGACUUUGAAAUCACCCCUAACCAAGAGGGGUUUAGCCACUCAUAUUUACAACAAAACGAAAGGAAAUGAAUUUAAACAUUAGAAACAAAAGAAAGAAAACACCUAAACCCUCCAACGAUCCAAGUUGGAUAGCAAGCACGUCCAAGCACUUUUCUUCCUUUCCUUUGCUACGACACAAGGUGUUGGUGAGUGUUUGAAGGUUUGUUUGUAUGGAGGAAUGGAUGUGAAGAUGAAUGGAUGAAGGUUGUGUUGAAUGCGGCAAAGAGUGGAGAAUUGUGUAGAUGAUGUGUGUGUGUGGGUGUUUUGGAUUGAUGUCCCCCCCUGAUGAAGGGUGGAUGAAUGUAUUUAUAGGCUAGGAAGAGGGUGUAGUGGGUGGUGGUAAUGAGUGGAUGUAGUGGUAGGUGAAUGGAUGUGUUGGGUGAAAUGAGUGGAUGUAGUGGUAGGUGAAUGUGUUGGGUGGUUGUAAUGAGUGGAUGUGUUGGGUGAAAUGAGUGGAUGUAGUGGUAAGUGAAUGUAUUGGGUGAAAUGAGUGUGCUAAAAUGGUUAUUUAUAGGGAGAGAAUGAUGCACAAACUUCAAAUUUCAUCCAUUCCUUUUGCUCCAAGCAUAUGCUAUCCAUUCCAUGCCCAAAAAUGCUCCAAAAUGCACUUCUUUGCCACAUUAACCCUUUGGACCUACAAACACACGAAAAUAGCUUAAAAUACUAAAAUAACUACGAACUAACAACAUAAAUGCCAAGAAACAAGCUAACUAAGUCACAUAAAUAUGCUCCUAUCAGUGUGUGCGCGCGUGCGCCCGGCGUGGGAUUGUAAUUGGACUUUUGAUUCAAGGCCGUGUAUAUUGUUCAUAUAUGGUCGAUUUUGGGCAUCUUCAAAUCAAUAAAGGGUAGCAUACAUGCAUAUCUUGCGCUUUAACUCUUUACAUAUUUUUUAUGGCAUGCUUUCUUACUUGGAAAGAGAAAAGUCAUGAAUUGGGGAAGGAAAUGGAAAUAAACUAAUCCUAGUGUGUUCAAGUAAUGAGAAACUUAUGAAUACCGUAUGGUGGUAAACACAAAGAACUUCACGAAUGAGAGUAAUUUCAUGAUGUUAUUUUGCAUAAUACUUGCAUCCAUCCCAGCUGACGAAUGAGUACUUAAGUACUACGUUUAUUUUCGGUUUGUUCUCCAUGUUGUUCUGAUAAUUUGAUUCUUUACAACCUCUGUGCAUAUUUUCACUUAAUUAUCAUGAGAACAAUUCAACAUAUAGUGGUAUCAUUACAUUCAGAAAACAACACACAUUACAAUCAGAUAUUAUCAAUAUGUGUUUGAAAUUGAUGCCACGAAUUACAAUUUUGAAAGCUUCUAAGAAAAAGAACUUAGUAAGGAUACAAGUGACUCAUAACUUAGACGAAAAACUUGCAGCCUUCUAUUUCUCUCAGCUUCAAUGGAAUAUUCAUUCACACUGACGUUACUAAAUAUCUGAAUUUCAAAGUUGUAGAUGGUAGUUUCGUGUAUAACAAAUGGAAGGUGCGAUUCCUCAUAAUUUCGAAGUUCACUGAGUGCUUAUUCACGUAUCAUCUAAAUGACAUAUAUGGAACUACUAAUCGAUUAAUACCAUUAACAAGAGAAAGGUCUGAACUUGAUGUUAUACCAUGUACAUAUAUAUAAACUCCAUAUAUUUUUACAUAUUAAACCUACUUCCAUAUAAAGCAACUAGAUUUACCCUGCAUCCUGCCUAAUUCGAAAGCCAUCACCCAAUAUUCUCAAUUAGAAAACUAUAACCCAAUAUUGUCAAUUCGGAAACCCUAACCCAAGAUUCCCAAUUCGAACCCUAAAUCCUUGACCCAGGAUUCCCAAUUCGAACCCUAAAUCCUUAAAUAUUCUAAUUAAAACAAUUCAACAGAAAAAAAUGAAAUAUUGCACUAAUAAAUAAUUGAAUUAAGGGAGAACGAAUUAAGGGAUACUGGGUGCUUACCUAGUAAUGAUGUGGUGGCGGUGAGAUGGUGUGGCUUCGGAGUGUGGCGGAUGCAAAAGGGAGAGUGAUAGAGAGAUAGAGAAAUAUUGAGAGCGAGAGAGGGAGAGGGGGAGAGAGGGAGAGACUGAGAUAGUGAGUGAUGAGAGUGAGAGCUGGAGAGAAUCGAGAGAGAUAGGAUAGUGAGUUUGGACAAAAUCGAGAGAGAGAAAAGAUUGAGCUUCGCAUGCAGAGAAGAACUCUACAAAUGCACCAGAAAAAGAAGCCAUGGUCGAUCUUUGCAGCAAAAUGAGUAGUAAACCUUCUCCUUUCUCCAAAAACAAUAGGUCUUAGUUCAAGAUAAAGCGUAAAACUGUGAUAGCAGAGGUCACUAUAUAUAACAUGAUCUAGCCAAAAUCAAUUAUGAUUUCCCUAUUAAAAUCCAUAUAGGAAACUGAAAUCAGUUCCUUGUUCUAUUUGAAUUCUAGAACAACAUGGAUUGGUAAUUCAUUCUCUUUUAAGAUUUUCUAUACAACUUAAAACUAAUAACCGGUUUUCGAUCUAGACUCAUACUUAUACUUAUAUUCUUACAAAUAUAAGAUGUUGCCAUACCAUAUGCCAAAAUUUUGUUGAGAUAUGAGAAAAUGUUUAGUAAUCUAGUCGCGCACCAAAAACAUUUUCCAAAUUUUGUAGCUAUCAAGAAAUGUAUAAAUCACAUGAAAUUAAUUAUUGUAUAUAAGUGAGAUUCAAACCAAGAUAUUGCCAUCUAAUAUGCUACAUCAUUAAUUUGGUAAAAGUUUUGACAAGGUUUUGGUUCAGACUAACAAUAAUAUUGUUAGUAUUAUGGCAUCGACAACGAGUGAUGCUACAUAAAGAAUCUCAAAAUUUUAGAUUGUUCAUUUUAGGACUCACUUUAAGCAUUAUUUAUUUAUAACAGUAUCAAGUUGCUUUUCUGGGUUUUGGCCAAGUGGCAAAACCUCAUCGCGGGAAACAUUAACAAGUUGCUUUUGAAACCAAAAAUUUGCCGCGUAUUCUUCCUAUUAUCUAUUCACAAGAGAUUUCUGUCUCUGUCUCUGUCUCUCUUCCUCUUUCAACCUUCAAAUUCUCAUAAGCUUUAAGGCUAUUCGAGAAGAAAAUUUUAAGGUUACAUAAAUUAUGUUAAUUGCUGUGCUUUAUAUAUUUUUAUUGUAAAUUGUUAUAAUAAGCUAAUUUUUUUAAUGUUUAUAGCUUCAAUAACUUCAGCAUUCUUUUUAUUGGAGCAUAUAGCUUCAGCAUUUUCGAAGAUAUAUAUAUAUAUAUAUAUAUAUAUAUAUAUAUAUAGAGAGAGAGAGAGAGAGAGAGAGAGAGAGAAGAGAUGGAAAUAAGUACAAACUACAUGACAUAAAAUAAGAUUCCACUACUUGAAUCUUACUUAUAGAAUUACAACGUACAUGCAUGCCUUUGGUACAUACAUACAUACAUACAUACAUACUUAAGCUUAGAGUAGCAAGAAACAAAUGAAAGAAACGGAAACUAGUACAAAGUACAUACAUAAAAGAAUCACUGAUUGUGAUUUCUCAAACGACUGAACACAAAACUAUACCAUGACCACAGCGUCAUUGAACAUUAAAAUGGCGCCUAGCUAGCGAUGUAACGAUGAAGAUGAAGCGAUCGAGUGACCAAUCUUUAUUUAUUAACUAGUGGAUAAACUGUGAGUUAUACUGCUCCAGUGAAGCUUGAGGUUUCUCAUCCUGCAAAGCAUAACAAAAGAGUCUCGUCAACUUGGUAGGAUGUGGUCUUGGAAGUCAAUAGGUAUUGUAAUAUGUAGUCUUAUUAUAGCAUGGAAUAAGAUGGAAAAGAAAAGUUGGUGGUGUUAAAAAAUAGAUUUGUAUUUUAAGCAAAAGUAGUAAUAUUUAUAACAGUAAUUUUUGUUUUGGAGGACUUUGCCUAAAUAUAGUGUAAGUGUUUAUAGUACCCACCAGUAGUCCUGUAAUCUGGGAAGGGAACUUGGCCUGACUCAAUAUGCUUGACAUCUUCUACAAGAAGCUCAUAGUGCCUCUUGACUUCCUCCGGUGUUUUGCCACCAACCGCCUUGGCGACAUUGUACCAGCGGUCGGCAGUGUCCUUGUCAUAGACAGCCAAAGCCUUUUCAAAGGCUUUGUUUUGCUUGGCAGUCCAGGAGGAGUCGGAGCCUCUUGAGGACAUUGAGCUUGAUGCCAUUGAAUAAUUUCUUAGAGUGAGAUGGUUUUCUAUAAACACUACAGUUAAAAGCGUGGAAGGAAAAUUAAGGGGAGGGAGGGAGAGAGGGAGAGAGAGAGAGAGAGGAGAAAAGACCAAAGUGCAGGGAAGUGUGUGAUAUGAGCUGAGUGUUGGCAAUGCCUGCUCUUUAUAAGGAGGGGGGAGUUGGGUGGGGGGGUAGUGCCAGUUGGCAAGAGAUCUUGGAAAGAAAAAAAAAUGAUGUGGAAUUUGAAUGAUUUGUCACCUUAGCUACCACAAAAUUAUUUCAAUGAAGCAGUAGUACUAGGACAAAGAUGGAAAACAACAUUGCUUGGAGAUAUCUCCAAGAAUUUUUUAUUUUUAUUGGUCAAGAAUUUUUUAUAGAUAGAAGAAAUCAAUAAAGUUGAUCGGAGUCCUUUUCUUUCUUUUUAACAUAUAUACUCCUAAGCAUGUUUAGUUGACAUAAAAACUUUUUAAAAAAAAGUGCAAGAUAUCAACCAAAGAAAACAGGUUUUAUUCAUGUAUAAUCCUCUUAAAUUUAAGAAUAAUUUUUCUUCUACUUUCAAUAUGCCUUGAAUUUAGAGGAUUAUCCAUUAUAAUCUAAUACACUAUAGCAAAUUGGAAUUGGAGUAAUGUUAGAUAGACUAAAUUUGUAGACUAAAUUUGCAAACUAAAUGAUGUGUCACCAAUAAUAAAUAAACACAUUAAGCAACACUUAAGUAAUAAUUUAAUCAUCAACUUCCAUGUCAUUUAGUUUAUAAAAUUUGAUCUAUAAAUUUAAUUUCUCUAGCAUUAACCGUUGGAAUUGAGGCUAAGCAGCCAAUCCUUAAUACCAAACGAGACCUAGCUAAGUGUCAUUAAUUAGAUGAAAAGGUCUCGAUAUUUAAGUGAUAAAUAGAGUAAAUUACUCUCAUCUAACGACAAUUAACGUAGUGAUGAUGCACAAAAACCUAGAAGUUCUUCUCUUGCUUCUUUUGGAAAUUAACUUAAACCUAUAAAUUAGCAAAAUGAAGCUUUUUGGCCUCGAUCAUGGAAGUUUCCUCCUUGAUUAAGAAAAUGGUAGUUUUAUAAUAGAGAACUUUAACGAAAAGCUCUCGAUACUAUUCACCUUAACGAAAAACCAUAUUUUUACACUAAAAAGUCAAUUAUGAUACUAUUUACUUUACCAUUUAUUUUGUCUUUAUCGUUAAAACUUAAAAUUUUCAAACUAUUUUCAUUAGUUUCCUUUUAUAAUAUCCUUAGAAGAUAAAGCACACCCAUAGGGGGGGAAACAAAGUAGAAAUUUUCAUGGUGAGAUCCUCUUCAUCUGUUGAGAUUUCCUUCGGAUUACAUCAGUUCCCUCUCUGUUUUAUUCUCUAACUUUGCAGGAUCUUAAUGUGGGGACCCAUUCUCAAACCACAGUCAAUCAGAUUGCCUGUUCUAAACUUUCACGUGUACAAGACAAGCCAUUUUUCUUUUUCUUUUCUUUUUUUCCCAAUUUUUUUUUCUUGUUUUUGAAGACUUAAGUACAUUGGGAGGCCUGUGUUCUCCACAGAACAAGUGAUCUUGCUAAUUAGUGUACUGUGUCCUGAACAACGUUCCAAGCACUCUAGCUGGCCUGCAUGGUCCGUACAAUGAUGCAAUUAUGUUUUUUCUCUGAGGAUAGGUCAACAUAAUGUUACCAACUCUUUAGCAGUUUGGGACCCUAUCUGAUAUAGUUUGGUUAUUUGGCACAGUAAACUUACUCAUACUAUUCACUAUCUAGUAAAAAAAAAAGGGAAAAUGUAUCAAUAAAACCGGUUACAAAUUUUUAAUAAAAAAUAAAAAUGAAAGAACAGUAUGUUAUGUAUAAACCACAGUUAAGUUCCCUUUUUAUUGUUUGUUUUGUGCAUGUUCCUCAAAUUUUAUUUUUUACCAAAAGGUUGAGAUGUGUAUAUUUGUGCAUAUUUCCUAAAAAGAAUGUCCAGAGAAUUGGUUGAAUUAAUUGAACUUUAACUCUUAGCUAAUUUGUUCAAAAAAACAAAAACUCUUAGUUAAUUAUAUUACGUACAUUGAUAUUACACAAAGUUAAGAUUGACUUGCUAUAUUGCUAAUUGUCAUUUGAAUCACAACAUCAAGGAACAAAACCAAGUUUUUCAUGAUUAAUUGACAAUUGCAAAUUUGCAACAUAUAGUAAUGUAGAAAACCAUUGUUUGUAGAUAUCUAGUUUCCAAGAUGGUAAAUAGUAAUUUUAUCUGAUCCAACAUUUAUCAUUUCAUGAGAAUUGAACUAGUGACCUUCACCAGCAAAGUGGAGCCUGAAUGGUAAAUGGCAGGUAGUAAAUAAUAAUUGGCUCAGUUAUUUUAUGAUGUUCAUGAUUUUGGCCCUUCCAAGUGCCAAACAAGUCUAAAGUUAAAUCGAGAAAUACAAAUUUCGGUACUGCUAUAUAUAACAAGCAUAUCUACAUAAUGAUCGCCUUUGCUUUUGUCGUUAGCUGUUGCUGCAGAUGUUGGAAUCACUAACCCUAGUUCAUCCAUCCUGCCACUUGCCCUUCAAAUUUUAGCUUAUUUUGAUACACAAAUCAUUGUUCUUAAUUUCUAUAUCUGGUUAUUCCUCAAAUAAAAUGAAAAGUUGGUUCAAAUUUAACCUCUCUUGGAUGAACAAACAGUUUGAAUCUGGCUGGCUGUUAGUCUUUCUUUUUCUUUUUUUUUCUUUUUUGUUUGUUUUGUUUUUGCUUCUAUUAUUUAUGAUGUACAGUUGCAGUCAUAUCCCAACUGAUAUCAUCCUAGUCACGAACUCAUGGGCGACCGACUUGCAAUAAUGUGAUAAAAUCUUUUCCUGGCCACAGUUAAAGUGUCCUAGUUCUGGAUUUUUUGAAACUUCUCAACUUUCCAUUUUACUGCAUGGUUACUACUGAUGCAGGAAGCUUGUUUUUUAGUUUUUGAGCCACUAAUUUGUAGAAUUAAUUCUCUUUCAGUGUUAGGACUUUAGUACGUAGCUAUUAGGGGAAUAAAUAAUGGUAUCAAUUUGAGUUGGUUGGAGAAAUUUUUUGCUAUCACCGGUUGUAUACAACUAUGUUUUUAUCUCUCUAAUCAUAUGACUAGUCCAAACCCUUGUCAUGUGAUGAGAGUGAAGCAUAUUUUAGAGUUUAGAAAUGCAUCCAUAGCAUCUUGCAUCAUAAAUGUUAUGCUAUUCUAUGUUGAGUACCUGUGAAAUUUAAUUAGCAUCAUCCACACGCUGGUGGUUUCGAAGAAAACAAUGCUUAAGAACACCACAAUUAAUUGUGUGCUAGUAAGUUGCAUCUUUUGUUCAGCACAUUAGGUUCCGAGUAGUCGUGAACAAAAUUUAACUUGCAUAACACCACAGGGGUUAAGGACUAGGAGUAUCUAAUUCAAGAGAGUGACAGAAUUUUGUAGGUCAAGAGAGUAUCUGUUUAGAACAAAAAGUUAAGUAUGAGGAAUCUGAUUUUAGAGGGGCGGCGAUGUGAUACCAUGGCUUUAAUCUGCAACUUGGUUAAGGUAGCCCCAACCUAUGGGUCUACAGUUUGCAAAAAUCCUGCAACUAGACCUUGGUUUAGUCAAUUCACAAUCCAGAACCAGUUUGCGUAUCCAAAGACGUAUAAGUUUGGAGUGGCAGCAAAAGGAGAUUUCUAGCUGUAUUUGGAAAUAGAAGUUCUCAGUGGCUGAACUUUUUAUUAUUUUAUAAGGCUAAUCUCAGUCUAGUAUUAUGAAGUUUCUUAAUUUUCAACAUUUAGUACGUAAAGUUUUUUUCAUUCCAAUUUGGUACUAAAGUCAUAAUUAUGAGACAUUUUUAUACAUCCGUUAAGUUUUCCGUCAAAACAUCUAUUAAUUGAUGACGUAGCAUCCACGUGGACAGUAACCGGAUGCCACAUGUCAUUACAGACCCACGUAAAUAUUAAGAAAUUUAAAAAAUUUAAAAAUUAAAAUUUUUUUUAUCCCAUCUUCUAAACCAAGUUAUCAGGCCCAAAAACUGUUUAUUUUUUUAUUUUUUCUGGGCUGCUCCUUACCCCCACGACCCCCUUCCUCCCUCCCUUCUCUCCUUUCUCUCCUCUGCACCCACCCUCCCCCGCACACCCACCUCUCCUUUCUAUACUCUGCGCCUACCCAAUCCUCUAUACCCGAUCCACUAGUUCCAGUGAUUGAGCUAUUAACUUUGGAUCUUGAAGGCAUGCAGGUCCCAAACCUGAGCUUAACCCAACACCCAUGUUCCUCCACCGCCUCAUCUUUCUUCUUCCUACCCUUCGAUUUGCUACUUUUACCCCAACUCUCCACCUUGCUAGGAUUAAGCACCAAACCCAUGUCCUCAAAGUUCAAACUCUCUCUAGAUUCAGAUUCUCAUUGCUCAGAAAACCAGAAAUUUCAAAACCCACAAAAAUCCAUUCGAACCCACCAAUCUGCAAACCAAAAACGACCCAAAAAUCUACAAAAUCUCUGAAAUUUUCACAAAAAAAUGUGACUCUAACCAAAGUCGAAUAGCAAUUCAGAACCACAGAAAUCCAACGCAACCCAAAACCAACUCAGAAACGCUACAAAAUCUUCGAAAUUUUCACAAGAACUGCGACUUGAACCAAAGAUCGAGCAGUCUUAUGCUCGAUAACUGAAAUUGAAUCCGACCCAGUUGGUCAAAAAAGGCCAGACAGAGUGGAGAGAGAGGGAAUGGGGGACAGAAGAGGUGGGUGUGCGGGGAGGGUGGGUGCAGAGGAGAGAAGGGAGAGAAGGGAGGGAGGAAGGGGGUCGUGGGGGUGAGGAGCAGCCCAGAAAAAAAAAAUGUUUUUGGGCCUGAUAGCUAGGGUUAGAAGAUGGUUAUUUUUUUUUUUUGAACUUUUAAUUUUUUAAUAUUUAUGUGGGCCUAAAAUGACACGUAAUAUCUAGUCACUAUCCACGUAAAUGUCAAGUUAUCAGUUAAUAGAGGUUUUGAUGAAAAUUUAACGGAUGUAUGAAAGUGUCUCAUAAUUAUGAUUUUAGGUACCAAACUAGGACGAAAAAAACUUCAUGUAUCAAAGUUGAAAACCAAGAAACUUCAGGAGUAGUAAAUUGAGAUUAACCAUAUUUUUUAAUACUAACGUUGCUGCUCUAAAUCUCAAGACACGUUUGCAGGGCCUAAUGAACUCUAAAACAAUGGGAGUAACUUACUAUCACGAAAUUAAUGUUACUAAUUCGAUGUUAUAGUAUGGAUGAACGAAUGAACAACAAGGUUUAUAUCUCUAGUAUCUAGGUCCUAGGAUUAAUUAAAAAUAUAUUGUAUCAUGUAAACGAUGUAUGUUUGGAAACAUAGUACUGUAACGGCGUGAUUGUUCAAACCCACAAAUUUCUUCUACUUUUGGACAACAAUGUGUAACAAAUAUUAUAUUCCAGUCUUAAUGUCUUCUCCAAACAUAUGGUUUGUCUUACAAAUUAACUACAUUCGAAAUCAGUUUGUCAUCAAACAUAAUCUCGAAAACCCUACUGCUCUCCACACAUUUGUGUGUCCUCGUGUCAUCCCAAUGAAAAGUCCUUUAAUUAUCAAACAGUGACUAGGGUUUUUGGGCUGAUUAAACUGCAGAAGGUAUGUCAAUCGAAACAUCAAAUGUAAGUGUGGCAUCCAUUGUCAAGUUGCAUCAGUCAUGGUCAUGAUAUACUGGCCACAUAUUAAUGGGGCUAUCACUUAUCAUUAGUUGAAAACUACUUCAGCAACUUUCUAGCUAGGAAUCUAUACGAAAUUUUAAUAAAGUGAUGCCUUGAGAUGAUACACCCUCUUAACGAUAUUUGGAAUCCUUAUCAUCCCAGUCCAUCUCCAAUAGGAAGAAAAAUCUCUUAGAUUCCUCCUCUCUUUCAGGACUAAUUCUUCUGGCUGUUGUGGUCCUUCCUUACAACUUGGAGAAAGUCGGUUAACCUUGGACUCUGUUGGCCUCUCCAUGGCUCUAAUUUUGAUCUUAUCGUUUCCAUAUUUGGCUUGAUGCAGAUAUUAGUGAACUAAAAUAUCUCGGACUUUCUUUUGAUCAACAUGCGAGCAGGUGAGCUAAUUCCAAAAAUCCGUCCCCAGUUUAGAUUGUAGGCUACAACUCACUUGCAUGUAGCUGAUAUUGCUAGUAAUCGAUGGCCAGCCAUAAGGCGGGCUUCAAACUUGGGACUUAUGCGUACCUUGCUAAGAGUUAGUUGGUAAAUAUCCUUCAGACUAAGCACUUUAAUUUGCAUUUUAGUUAAGUAUAUAUGGUUGAGAAUCUACAGCUUCAUGGUGAGGGGUCAAUAGUAAAAAAAACCCCUUGCGUGAUGAAACACACAUCGAAAUUUUAAACUUUAUCGCGCAAUAUGUUUAAAAAUAUAAAAAAAAUUAUUUUUUAAAAACUUUGCGCGACGAAUUCCAAAUAUUUCGUCGCCUAAACCAAAUUUAUUUUCUUUUUUAUUUAAUUUUAUAUUUUAAAUUGUAAAAUAAUUAUUUUCAUAGUUUUUUUUUAACUUUGCGCGACAAAUAUUAAUAUUUCAUCACCUAAACUCUAUUUAUUUUAUUUUAUUUUAUAUUGUUAACCUAAAUUAUUUUCUUUGCGUGACGAAUCAACAUUUCGUCGCCUAAUCCUAUUUAUUUUAUUUUAUUUAUAUUUUAAAUUGUAAAAUAAAAUUAUUUUCUUUUUUAUUAUUUUUUAAAAACUUUGCACGACGAAUAAUAAUAUUCUGUCGCAUAAACCCUGUUUAUUUUAUUUUAUAUUUUAAAUUGUCUAAUAAAAUUAAUUUCUAUAAAUUUUGCGCGACGAACCAAUAUUUCGUCGAGCAAAAUCCUUAAUUUGGGUGGGUGCCGAAAAUGGGAAGCGGGAAUUUAAUUUUUAAUUUUUUUUAAAAACUUUGCGCGACCAAGCUUUCAUCGCGCAGUUUUGCAUGACCAAUAUUUCGUCACGCAAAGUUUUGCGCGACGAAUAAAUGUUUCGUUGUGCAAAACCUUAAAAAUUUGGGUGGGUGCCAAAAAUGGGGCGUGGGAUUUUUUUUUUAAGACUUUGCGCAACCAAUCUUUCGUCGCGCAAAAUAAUACGGUUUGUAAAACCAAAAUAAUUCCUCUACAGUUUUCUCACUGUAUCUAUCUAGUUCUCUUACGUCUCAUUUUUUCCCCCAAUAUCCGACCCCCUCUCUCACACUCAAUCUCUCCUCUCUCUCUCCUCUCUCUCUCUCUCUCUCUCUCUCUCUCUCUCUCUCUCUCUCUCACUCACUCACUCUCUCACUAUCUCUUCUCACUCUCUCACUCUCUCCCUAUCUCUCACUCACUCUCAAUCUUGCUAAAAGGUAUUUUCUCUCUAAAUUUUAAUUUAUUUUUCAUUAAUAUGUGUUUUUGGAGUUAAUUUUGGGUUUGGGUGGGGUUUGGGGUUGGAUUUGGGGUAUGCUAAUUUUAGGGGAGGUUAUGCCCAUUUUUUGGUAUGAUUUUAUGUUUUUUUUUUUUUGUUAUUUGACCAUGUUUUUUUUUUUUUUUGUAGGGAAUCGUUGGGACUUUGAUGGUUAAAGUUGAGGAGUUGAGGAUUAUGACACUAUAGGACCAUAUCCGCUAUCACCACCACCACAAUAGACUUGUAUUAGGAUUUUAUUAUUGUAAUUUGUUAAUUUAUAUGUACAUAUUUAAUAAAAUGUAUAUUGUGGAUAAUUUGAUCACUAUUUUUCGUAUUUAUUUUAUUUUGAAUAUGUCAAUUUAAAUUAAAGUAACAAAAAAAAAUAAAGCCAUACAAUUAAAUUAAAUUAAAAAUUAAAAAAAUCUUGCACUAACAAAAGGUCAAUUUAAUUAAAUAAAAAAUAAAAACAAAAAACUUUUGUGGCUCAAAAUCUUGCGCUACCAAAUAUUUUGUUGCGCAAAAUAUUAAAUUAAUUUAAUUAAAUUAAAAAAUCAAAAAUAACAAAUUUUGCGUGACAAACCAUGCUUUCGUCGCGCAAAGUUUUGAGUGAUGAAAUCUUACUUCGCGCAACAAAUCUUAUUUUGUUGCACAAAGUGUUUUUUGUAACUGUGGGUACAGCUUCAAGUUGGCUGCAAAAGCAUAGAAAUCGCCUUUUGGAUCGAUGGAAUCUUUUAUUGAAAAGGGAAAGAGUGGAAAAUGGAACUGUAGUUUUAAAUUGGCGAUUUACGGGAAGGAUAUUUUUAUGGAAUGAACUAUGUGGAAGAUAUAUGCAUGGAAGGUUCUAAUUGAGUGAAUGAUACAUGGUCUCAGCAAACUUUUCACUUUGGACUGCUCUCUUUUGUGCAUCUGUUGUGUGGAUUUAUUUGCUUUGAAGGUACUCAAAGUAGAAUAAAAAUUGGAACAAUCACUGAACAAAUUUAAUCGGCUAGGAAUGAGCUAACAAUAUAUAUAUCAAACACGCGUAAGCAUGCGCGUCACAUAUAACUCCAUCCUGCAAUUAUAGGAGGGGAGAAAUCAGGAGUCGCAGAGAAUAACCAAUGCGAGCAUAUGUGAGCACCACCAAUCAGCAAUGCCGACCAUUUUGGGUGCACCAAGGAAUUGUUAUCAAGUCGUUGGAAGAUCAAGAUAUUCAAGAUCACGUAAUAGCUAGCUAGAUAGGGUUGUGUAGAGUAUAACGACGUGGCUGGGUUUGAAGCAGCAAAUAAUUAACAUGGUAUUUUCGUUCUUGUACGGUGAUUCUUGAUGUCAGAAGAAUCAUAAGGAACAGACCAAGAUAUUGUGGGCGCAAGGAUUCGAUUGUGUCCUCACACUCAUUUUCCUCGUCAACUUGUCGUUCUUCUCAAAGUGCAUAUUGCAAGUCUUGGCUCCACGUUGGUUUUGCCUGCAGUAGAAUAAAUUUUAACAGCUGUGAGUUUAUGCCAAAGCCGACCCACAAGCAAGCCGAACAAGACAUGUGCUUUGGGCAUGACAAGGAACUAAGUUUCGUAUUUUCUUUUCAUACCCGUAUUUUACGAGACUGGCUAUAAUGCUUACUUGUAUAUGAUACAAUCAAAUAUUUGACAGUGAGAUAUAAGUCAUGUGAUAUUUAUAUAAUACAAUCAUCAUCUAACCGUCAAAAUAAUGAUUGUAUUGAGUACAUGUAAGUAUUGUAGUUAAAUUCCAACAUUCUUUGUUUAGUUAAUUCAAACUGUUUAAUCUGACCAUCGAGAUGACUUUCUCACCUCCACAAAUAAAUUGUAAUGAUUUUUUUUUUUUAUCUAAGAUAGAAAUUGUUGUUUGCUACACAUCUAUCAGAGGUGGGCGUACCCUACUAACCCGAGAGCUUGAGGCAUGCAUAAUGUGAACUUGGCAUGAGGUGGUGAUAUGAAUUAUUCUUCCACUUGACUUAAUUCUUCAUACAACCAAUCACUUUUAAUGCCUUCUUAGUUAUAAGACCACGCUACAAGACUCGGCGACAAAUUAGUUAAUAUUAUGUUCUUUAAAUAAUUAUUAUCUCAUGGGACAAAGAAUCAAUAGGGAAACAUCAUUUACAUGAUUAUGUCUUAAGAAAGCUAGGUAGGCAAGCAUUGGUCGAAUUAGAAUGUGGAUUAUUGAUGCAAAUUUCCGCCAUCUUCAGUCUUGACGAAAAUGCACCUGCAAAACAAUUAACAUCUUUAAUCAAGGACCUAAGCCUCACACACCCACGAGGUGGGGGGGGGGGGUUAGGCCAAUGGAUCUCUGAUGCCUAAGUUAGUUUCUCUAUGAGAAUAAAGUGUUUAGGGCCUUUUAAGGGUAGCAAAAGCUUCUGAAAUUUGGUAGAAUAUAGGGUAUUUAUAGGGAUAGAGCCAGCCAUAGUCUUAGGGUUUAUGGAGAAAUAUUAUCAAGAUAUUAAAUAGGAAAUAAUAUCUUGAGAUAAUUGAGUAAUUAUCCCUAAUUGAUUUAAAUUGAGAUUAUUUACUUGAUUGGAGUCAAUCUUCAAUUAGGAAUGUAUUAAAUAUAGAAUUUGGGUAAUUAAUCCUUAUCUUUAAUGCUUUGACUUUUCCUUGCCAAGGGCAGGUGAGCUGGGGGCAAUCGUAUUCAGUUGCUGGGACCUUCAGGGGUGUGAGCUGUGCAUGGGAGCAUCUAAGAAGUCUGCACAUUUGUUGAAGGCAAUCUUGUCUUUCUUGGGAAAAAGCCCAUGUGUCGCCUCUACAAUUAAUGAGAUUAUUUUAGGCUCCACAAAUGCCCCACACCUACUGGGCGGCACGUAGAAAAAUGGCAGUAGGUGUAGAAAUCCCAAGCUAUGUAGGCUUGUAUAGUUGUUUCCCAAUUUGAAUUUGAUAUUCUUUCUUGAUUUGGAGAUAAACUUCUUCUAGGAAAAGGAAACCAAUUGCCCCCAAUACCUAUUUAAUUCUGCCUUAAGCAGGGGAUUAAAUAAAUUUGGAGAACAAUCAUCAUUCCAACAAGGAAGAGAAGCCAAAGGAAAUUUUUCUUCCCCCUCCCCUAACUUUCUUCUUCUCUUGCCCUUGCAAGGAAUCGUCUCUUGUUGUAGUUCUUCUUUUCCGUGCCGCACCAAGGUAAGAAAAAUUUGAAUUUUCUUCUUCUUGAUUUCUUUGGAGUCUUGGGACUUGAAAAUUGGCUCGGUAAUGGUCGAUGAGGUGUUAAACAUACAACAAGGAUGCCAUAGGGCUGCUGGUGGUGCGGCAAGGGAGUCAGCUGGUGUGGGCCAGGGGUUUGGCUUAACUUGGGCCAAGAAGAGAGGUGAGUUGGGGCGUGGAGAGGCCAACUUGGGCUGAACCUUCAAAGUUGGUGAGGGAGAGAAAGAGACCGGUGCGGGCUGGGUCUUUUGCUGGCGUGUCAGGCUAUGUGGCCUUGGGCCCUUUGUGGUCCUGUGGUCUUUGGGCAAUACUGUGGAACGCUGGGCGCGAGAGAGAGGGAUAACAUGGUCUGGGCCGUAGAACCUGGCUUGCUGUUGGGUUCCUGUAGCUUGAGCCUGUGCGGAGAAAGAGUGUGAGGGCCAUGGGGCAUAGCCAGGGGCGUUGGGCUCGCAGUUCUUUUUAUUUUGUUUUAUUUAUAUAUUUUUUUUGCUUCUUUCGCGAGCUGUCUUCCUCCAAUCGCAAAAGUGAUGAAUAUCCUCCAAUUUUGUAUUGUCAAGGUGGUUUUUCUGGCAAGGUGGGCUAUUUCAAGGCUGCGCAUGUCAAGAUCAAUUUUGAGGAGUUGUUUCGGGAUUAUUUUCUUGAGCCUUACGAGCAUGCAAUUCCGUCAGGGGUUUGCGACAAGCGGGUGAAGGAUGAUAGCGGCCAUAAACCAUGCAGUGAGGGCACCACUACUAGGAAGAAGGCUAUCAAAUUCCAUUCGUAUUACUUCGUGUUGGGAUUCAAUUUUCCCAUGUCGCGUCUUUUCCAAGAGGUGAUAUGCUCCAUGAAAUGCACGCCUGCUCAGUGCUCCCCCAAUGCAAUUCGUGCGAUAGUGGGAUUCCUCAAUCUGAGCAAAUUCUUUAAUCUUGGCUUAGCCAUAAAUGAGUUCUGGUACUUUUUUGAAAUCGACCACAAGGAAGGUGUAGGGCAUCUGAGAUCUCACCAUAAGCCGCUCGAUGCUCCCUGCAAAGGUGAUUAUGAAUGGGCAAGAGACACCUUAGAGGUAAGUGGAGAUUAGAAGUUUGACUCCUCUCCUGAGCUGCGCGUUCCAACUGUCUUUAUUAGUGGUAAGUGAACUGCUUCAUUCUUGUCCUACUUGAAUUUUUGUUAAGCUGCUCCAUGACUUCAAUUUACUGAUCGUCAUUCUUACUUCCAGUAGAUUCAGAAUUUGGCUCAACUCCAAAAACUUUGGCCGAUAUGAAGAAAGUGCACAUCGCCUUGGGCAUUUCUGCUGAAUACCUUGAGUGGCGCUGAUUGCUCAGUCCUCUUCGUUGGGAGAAAGGCGGGCUGCCUCCGAAUGAAGAGAUAAAACGGAUAAAGGAUAAGGCGCUUGCUCAUCUAAUCGCUGUUGUAGAGCCUACUGCUAAUGAGGGUGGAAAGAAGAGAUCUUAUUCACCUGCCAGUAGGCUUUCGAUUGAGAAAAAGCCAAAGACUUCUUCUGCUGCUCGUGAAGGCUCGUUAGCUACUAAAAAGCUUGUGAUUGAUUUGACUUCUCCAAAGGGGACAAAAAAGUCCAUUCAGCCUGAGCCUGUGAAAUCUGCUGUUUCGAAGGUGGCCACGUCCACUGCUGAAAAGAUUGCCUAGCGAAAAGGUUCAGUGGUGCCCCCAAUGUCCGAGUUUGUGUCGAAUAGCCCUUCAGGAGCUAAGUCCCGUUCAGCUUAUGAGAGGCUCACUGCUAUGAAGAACAUGAAGGUGGAUUCUAUUACUAAGGUAGCACUGGGCAUGUUCCUCCUUCUGCUACGACUUACUCGUCUGCUGAGAAAGGGAAAUUUGCUCACAUGGGUAGUUGUGAGAGAUCCACCGAGUCUGAGGCUAGUGAGUUUCCCGAGGUUUAUGUGCUGCUGAAGGUUGACUUGCUUGAGGAUGUCAAUGUAUGCGCCAAGUUCAUUGACAGUGUCGUGAAAGUUGUCAUCCGAUCAAACUCUUUUGCGAAACAUCCUGCCUAUUUGAGGAGGUCCUUCCUGAUUGCCACAAUGCAUAAGACUUUGAUCCUAGCAGUUGAGUCUAUGCACAUUGAUCAAGAUGUUGUCAAGUGUGUUAUGGAAGCCGAAGUGGCAUUAAUGGCUUAGCUUCGCUCAGUUGCUAAAAAGAUUGAGAAGCUCAAAUCAGAACUAGUCAUUUUGAAAGGGUCUAAUGUCUCUACCCUCAUUUCUAUACAACUGGAGACCGCUCAUCAGGAGGUCGCGUAUUUAAAGGCUAAGCUUAGUGCGACUCAGUCAAUGAUGGAAGCUGCAGAGAAGGAAGUCAGUCGUGUUUCUCUAGUGGUCAAGGACCUUGAGCGUGUCAAUUCGGAGCUACAAUCUGCUUAUUUUGCCAAUGACGAGGAGUUUGUCUUCAUGCAUGCUACAGUGUCUCGUCUUAAGAAGCUUGUUUUCAUGCAUGCUGUCUGCUAGCGAAACCUAAGAAAUGAACUAGAUGAGCUACAGGGUGCUCACACUAGGCUUGUUGAGGAAAAUGUAUAGCUGAAGAAUGAGAAAGCUAAUCACAAAGUGGCGCUUGCUUCUUGUCAGGCUGAUUUCUACAAGCUUGGCUAUGUAGACCAUCUUCAGGGUAGGCCAUUAGAUUAUGAGUUUUCCAAGAAGGACUUCGAGACUUUCUCUAUUUCUCUAGUUGAUCUACUUGAUUUCUCGUUUGAGGCUGCCUUUGGUGAAGCAGCUGAAGGUCAGGCAGUCCAGGCAGAGGUAACUGAGGAUGAGCUGAUGGAAGCUUUAGCUGCAAAGAGCGAAGCAGUUAUUGAAGGUGUGGCAGUUGAGGGACUAGUGGUUACGCAAGCUACCGACGAGUAACCUUUUUGCUUAGACUUAGGAAUUUUCUUUUUUUUUCCUUUUCGUUUUGCUUUAUUUGAACUUUGUGGGCCUUCAAGCUAGUUUAUCAAUUUCUUAGAAAUUUAAUAAACAGAUUUCCUUGCUUUGCUUCAAUCUUUCUAUUUUGCCAUGUCUUUUGCGAAACUUUACAGUAGGAUGGGCGGCUGGGUAAGUUGCUUCAAUGAAGCAGUCAAUCCCACGUCAUCACUUAGGUUUUAGUUUCGGCUUUAGGGCUUCAGGAGCCUUGCUUGCUUGAGGCGACUUGCAAAACUUUACCGUAAGACAGGUGAUUAUGUUGGCUACUUCGAUAGAACAGUCGAUCCCACGUCGUCACGUUAGGCUUUAGUCUUGCUUUGGGGCUUCUAAAGAUUUACCUACAAGAGGAAAAAUGCGAGAUUUAUAACUUAUAAAGCCAGCGGCCUAACUCGUCACCUUCUCCAUGUAGUGCAGUAAUUGGUUAUGUGCCCGAGACCUCUGUAGAAUGCGCAGUACUUUGUCUGAUCCAUCUUGGAUGGGUAUUCUCUUAUAGACAGUGGCAGCUUGAACCACGACUUGUCCUUGAGGUCACGAAGGAUCGGGUUGAUCGGGAUUAAGAACUUGGUGUACAUUUUGGGCACCGUGCCUCCUUUCAUUAGGGAUCGAUCCUUGCGUCUGCUUCCUGGCUUGUUUUUAUUAUUGAGCGCUUUGUCACUAGCCUUCUUCUGAGUCAUCUCUGUGUCUUUGCGUAGCUACUCAGGCUACUUUUGGGAGGGUUUGGCCUCAUCCCAAAAGGAAUGCUUUUUCGCCAAAGCAUAAGAGUCUGCCAGGGUCAAGUUCUCGUCCAUGAUUACUUCUCUAAAAAGUGGGUGAUUUGUUAGAAGUCCAUUUCGGAAGGCUGAGCAUGCAAUGCUGUCAUCGCAUCCGACGAUCUUAGCAUUCUCCACCUUAAACCUCUUGACGUAAAUACGGAGUGGCUCAUUCGGGUCAUUCUUCAUGUUGAAGAGGUGAUCAAACUUCUUCUUGAUCAAGUGGUAGGACGAAUAUUUCAUAGUGAAAACCAAGGAAAGUUCACUGAAGUUCCUGAUUGAUCGUGACAGCAGGGUGUGGAACCAAUCUUGCGCUUCGCCUUAGAGCGUUGUGGUAAAAAUCUUGCACAUGAGAGCAUCGUUGUUGGUGUAGAGGGUCAUGUCGGUAGUGCAUCAGGUGCCUGUCCGGAUCUUCAUCUCCUUUGAACAAGGUGAAAUGUGAUAGGCUGAACUUCCGCAACGACUCCAUCUGCUUAUUCUCAUCUGUGAACGGUGACCUGCUCAAGUUGACCACAUCUCUACGAAGGGCAUCGUCAGAAGUGCCAAUACGCUGGAAUCCGCGCAGCUGCUCUGCUACGAGCCUUUGUAUUUCUUCCUGGAUUUGUGCUUAGUGAGGCAAUGAAACCUCUAACUGCCCCCGGUGUUGACCUGCUGGUCCAUGUUGUUCUUUGGCAUGUCUUGCUCGUCUGUGUCGCGGUCACGGUAAACUAUGAUACUUGCCGUAACACUGGGCGGGGGCUGCCAGUGGAACUUGAGCUUGAAUGCCCUCGUGCUCUCCUAUGUCCAUCAUGAGGCUGCCUACUCCGAAGCCUCGUAAAAGGAUUUCUUUGUGGGCCUAGCCUCAUGUGGACACUUCUCCUGGAAUGUCCUGAAUGCUCGUCGGAGUGUGGACCCAACCUUGAAUGCACACUGACUCGUGAACUGAGUCAAGAAUUAGCGUUUAUCUGCGUAUCUAGGCAGGAGAAGGCGCUUCCCUAAGGGCCUAAAAGAGAGUUCACACUACUUGAAUGUGAGAAUCUUUGUCAGGACGUCGCUAGACUGAGUCAUGUUCUUCCGCCCUUGUCCUACUUCUAGACACCUCAUUUGGGGCGUACUGCAUCUUGAUAUGCCUGAUAAGUUGGUUCAUUAAGGUGGUCUGCUGUAAGAGGGUGCUCGUCAAAUUAGCGACCUGUUGGGGCAGGUAGGGCUCGUCAUUUGGAUUAGAAAAGUCUGGAUAAUGGGUGUCUCCAUGUAUAGUGGAAGUGUAGUGGACUGCAGGUACAAAACUUGAGCCCAAAGCAAGCAUUCCUGCAGAAAAAUAAGGUGAAAAUAACCUUGAAUCGAUCACGUGAUCGGUGGUCAGAAUCUGGAUCACCGGAGGUAGCCUCGGGUUGGAUUGGGCCACAAGCUGGGUUGUCAAAGUGGGUCGCAGGGCGGGCCAACCCAGCUGGGUGGUGAGGUUCUGCGUGUGGUCAUGUUGGGCUCACGCAUAUGGCAACUGGUCUUGGGCCUGCACUGUGUGCUGGGCCGGUAUAUGAUCUUCGUAUUGGGUCUGGGCUACGCAUGCAAUAGGAAUGGCUUGGCGCUGUGUUUAGGUUAUGGCUACUUGGGUUGUUAGUUGGGUUCUAACUACUGCAUCUUGGGCCUUCUAAGCUCAGCCUGCUUCUCUAUGGACUUGGGCCUUCUGCCCAUGGGCUAAUAAAUAGACCUGGGCCCUCCCGCCCAGGGUUUUAGGAAUUGGGCCGCUGCAAAGGCAAUGUUGCAAGAGCUUGUGCCAUGGCCUGGUGGCUUUGUUGUGGCUACUGGGUCACGACGGUAAUGGUGAAGCAGCUCCGCAGCGGCGGGGCUCCUCCUGCCAUCGCGUUGAGCCUUGAUGAUCUAUGUCGUAGGGCUAUAUCCUCGUCUCCACUAUUCGAUCUGAAUCCUUGUACAUACGGGGUUCCGUUCGUUGUGGUUUCUAAAUUUCCUACCAUUGUAUCAUUUCUCCAAUGAUUGAUCAAGAAGCUUUUCUAAGAAAAAUUAAUUGAUACGACGUGUGAGAAAUUCAAUGUAACAGAAAAUUCAAGAAACCAAUGCAAAUUUCCGCCGUCUUCAGUCUUGACAAAAAUGUACCCGCAACACAAUUAACACCUUUAAUCAAGGACCUACGCCUCACACACCCACGAGGUGGGGGGGGGGUUAGGCCAAUGAAUCUUCGAUGCCUAAGUCAGUUUCUCUAUGAGAAUAAAGUGUUUAGGGCUUUUUUGGGGUAGCAAAAGUUUCUGAAAUUUGGUAGAAUAUGAGGUAUUUAUAGGGAUAGGGCCGGCCAUAGUGUUAGGGUUUAUGGAGAAAUUUUCUCAAGAUAUUAAAUAGGAAAUAAUAUCUUGAGAAUUGAGUAAUUAUCCCUAAUUGAUUUAAAUAGGGAUUACUUACUUGAUUUGAGUCAAUCUUCAAUUAGGAAUGUAUUAAAGAUAGGAUUUGGGUAACUAAUCCUUAUCUUUAAUGCUUUGACUUUUCUUUGCUAAGGGCAGGUGAGUUGUGGGCAGUUGUAUUCAGCUGCAGGGACCUUCAAAGGUGUGAGCUGCGCGUUAGAGCAUCUGAGAAACCUGCCCAUUUAUUGAAGGCAAUCUUGUCUUUCUUUAGUUUGAUUUGGAUAUUUGUGGCUUGGUUCCAACCUCUUUACCACCUCUCAAAAUGAUGGCUUUUGCAGAUUCAAAUCCACCUUUUGGGUUGACAACGGUUGAACUAGGCUAUUUGCCUUGCUCUUUGAAUUGGCCCAUGAAUUACGCCAUUUGCCCCAUUUGCUUCUUCAAUUCAUCUACCUCUUUGGCUUGAUUUUGCAUUCCCUGCACCACAUUGGUUAAUAAUUGAACAAUUUGAUCGUUAUCCAUGAACGAACCUGAUUUUGGUUGGGCAAAUUGUGGUUGGGGUUGUGUUGGUACGUAUAGCCUUGGAAACAUCCCAGGGGGUGGUGGUCGAAAUCCUCCUUGUUGUGGAAGUUGUUGAGGCUCCCUCUAUUUCAUGUUUGGAUGAUCUUUCCAGCCCGGAUUGUAAGUAUUAGCAUAUGGAUCAUAUUUGGGCUGGUUUUGGCCUUGAAACCCAAUGGCUUUGGCACUUUCCCAUCCUCAAUUCUCAAUCAAUUAAGGGCAUUUUUCAGAUUGGUGUCAUUGUAUAGAGCACAUGCCAUAAAUUGUGUUUUCUUGCACUUUGGGUCUUUCAACAACCUGUGACAUAAGAAGAGUGAGAUUAGCCAAUUGAGAUUGAAUUUCAGAAAUUACACUUACCUCAUUCACAUGUUGCGGCCGUGGGGGUUCUUUCUGUCCAACUCCUUCGUAUUGUUAUGCAUUCAAGGCUUGGUUGGCAAUUUGGGUCUUGGCAGGUGUUUGUCAACCAAAGCUCAUCCCGCUGAGGCAUCUAGCAUUUGUCUUUCAAUGGGAAGAAGUCAUUCGUAGAAAUAUUGAAGGAGAAGCUUUUCUUUCAUUUGAUGUUGAGGACAUGAUGCAACGAGAGUCUUGAAACGCUCAUAAUACGCUGGAAAGAAUUCUCCUUGAUUUUGUUAAAUGCCACUAAUUCUCUUCCUCAAAGAAUGACUCUUGACGUUGGAAAGAACUUCUCUAAGAAUGCUCUCUUCAUGCUUUCCCAAGAAGUGACUGUUCCAGAUGCCAAUUCAUACAACCAAUCCUUAGCCUUUUCCAAAAGAGAGAAUGGAAAAGCAAGUAAAUUAAAGACUUAAAUAAGUUUGCACAAAAUUGGGGGAAAAUAUGGGUGAAUGGCUAGCUACAAGGUCCUUCUCCACACAUGACACGCUUGCAUACAAAACGAUUUCCAAUUGCUUUUCCAUUAAACCAUGAACCUCAACACCCCAGAUUAACCGUGAACAGCACUAAUUAACCCUCAGAUUUUCCUUAAGUCAUUGAAUUGCAUGGAUAACACAUCGGCAACCAAAUUAUUCUUCAAUAGUUCCCUACAUGAACAGCAUAAUAGAGAUACAAUAAAAAAUCAUUAAGCUUUGUGAAAAUCAUUAAGCUUUGUGAAAAUCAUAAGCAUUGACAAGGCAUUCGUAACUAUAAACAGCAUGAUACUCCUGCCAGGAAUCUACUUGACACGAUUGUGACUAGCAACCUCGACUACUUAUGAAUAUAAGUUCAUAACAUUUAGGUGAAAUGAUAAGCUCAUAUUUAUAUAUAUUUUACAUCAAACUCACUUGUCUUUUCUUAGUUAGCUCCGUAUAUUUUUGAGCUAUUUACUUUGUUUUUGUGUUUUCUAGGAUUUGUCAAUCAAAGAAAAGAAAAAUAGCACAAGUGGGAUUUUAAGUAACAAAUUUGUCAAAACUGCCUGUGCAGGUCAACUGACUUUGGAAGCAAGUUGUGAACAGCUCAAAAUGAAUUACAGAAUGAGCUUUAUAUGCUUGGAAAGCUACGGAUGUCUAUUUUCUGGAGCAUUUCGUGGAUUGUUAAUAUCAUUUUUGUAGAAGAAAUGAUCGUUUUAACACUGAAAGGUUCAGAAGAGACUGAGCAGUUUGUAACUGCAAUGAAAGCAAUAAACCCAAUAAAUCUAGCAGCCAAAACUGAUGCAGCCAAGAACAAGCCAGUUGAUACCUAUUCAAAUAUCAGAGGAAAUGGAAAUAAAGAUGAGGAUUAAGUGGGAGAAAUUGGCAUAAAGGAUACCCAAAGAGUUACAAUUGUUUUACCAUUUCCUCUCACUUAUUGCCAUCACUAAAUGGCUGUUAGUGGGUGAGUUAAGGAGAAGAAAAUGGGGCAGCAAGUUAAAAAGGGGAAAGGCUGCAGGUUGCAGGUUGAAAAAAAAAAGAGAGGAAAAAAAACAUAAAAGAAAGAGGACAAGGCAGCUUUGCGGAAAGGAAGGAAAGGAAGAAGGAAAUCUUGGCAUUCUCUCCUCUCGGUUUUAUCUUCUCAAACUUAUGUCUUUCUUUUGGUUUUAUUUGAUAAUAAUGUGUAACUAAAUUUUUAGUAGUUAGGGGCUGUUUUGAAGCCCCGAAUAUGACUGCAAGUUUGUUAUGACAUUUUGUUUGAAUUACUUUUAUGAAUGGAUGAAAAUUGAUUCACUACUUGUCUCAUUGAUGAAUUCUUUAUGUGUUUUCUACGGAUGCAUACUUAGUAAGCAUAUCUAGGAUUCUAACGCUAUGAAUAUAUGUGUGCCUGCUCUUGUCGAAUGAGGACCUACAUAUGUUCUAAAGUAGUACUUGUUAAUUGCGAUUAACAUGUGAACCAAUUUCUAGGAUAAGUAAGACAACACCAGUACUUACGAUGCCUAGUGAUGACUCAAACUCUUUUCGUUCUUAAUGAUUUCUACUUGUUAAAUCUAUGAACAUGCCAUUCUAGAUUGCAUGCUAGGGACUAAGUUAAGUUGAAAACGCCAUUCUCUUAACGUACUACAUAAGAAAGAGUAAUAGGUUGAUUUAUAACAUUGAGCCAACUUGAGCAUCUUCAUCCUGAAAUAAAAGGAAUUUGAAUGAAACAUAACAUGUUUGCAUGAUUAUUUGGUGGUGGAUAGCAAUUCCCCUAACUCGUUUUUCUUAAUUUGUGAACUACUUAAACUUUGUUUCUGUCCUGUUUUCGUUUGAUUUAAUUUAAAUAGCAAAUCAACUCCACAAAUCCUAAAAAUUUGUGUGAGUGUAGCUCUGUGUGUCUAGUGUGUUUAUAUAAAAUUUCAUAGACUUUAGAUAAGUGUAAGUCAGUCUAAUAAUUAUUUUUCGGUGGCUGGUUAGUAGGGACAGCAACCAGUUUUUGUGACAUUUUAAGUAGUUAGAUAAAACAAUCUUCUGCGGGAAAGACCCUUAUUUUCAUAUGCUACAAUUGACAAAUCUUAGUGUUAUUAAGGAAAAUCAAUAGGACAUUUGUGUGCUACUUUGUGGUGUGCUUUUAAUUCUAUCAUGAAACUCCCUUAUAUGCUAGCUUCAAAUUCAUGCAUGCAAACUAAAUAUGCAUCCUUAAUCCACAAACAAGAACAAGUUCUGAAUCAAACAAUUAAGUAAAUUGCAUUCACGAUUUAUAGAAUCACAACUGGAAGUAAUCAAUUCAUAUUGCAAAUAUAUUCAUGGCUUUGAAUUUCCCCCUAGCGAAAACGAGUUUAGCUCCUCAUGUUCGCAAAACAAAGAUAAUUAAACUUAAACAUUGAAAACAAAAGAUGGAUUACAUCUAAGAAUGUUCCAGCAAUCCAACUUGAAUGGCAAGCACAUCCAAGGGUCCUCCUUCUUCUUUGUUGCAGCACAAGGUGUGGGUGAAGGUUUGAGUGAUGAAUUGUAUGAAGGAAUGGUUGAAAGUAUGAAUGGUAGUGAAUGGAUGAUUGAAUGGUGCGGCUAAGGCAUUUAUUUAUAGGGGAAGGAAAGGACACGGCUGGGAAUUAAUUUGGGAAGAGUUUAAGACUCCAAAUCCUCCAAGAAAAGGGUAACAAAUCAGAAUCCCAAGAGGAAAAGGGUAAGUGAGGUGCGGCAAGGAAAAAAGGAAAGGGGAAUCCCUUGCCGUGCAAGGGAAAGGGUUUCUAGAGGGCAUUGGUGCGGCAUCCCUUUGCGGCUGGGAUUAGGUCUUCUAGAACCUAACAUUAAGUGUCCAAAUAUAUUUGGGAACCCUCCUUUCAGCUGUAAGUUAGUUGGAUUAGGAUUAGGAAAGUGCUGGAACAAAAUAAGGUAACUUAACUAAUGUUUCCUCUUUUCUUGUUGAUCUCCUUAUCUUCUUUAAAUUAAUUCUUCUUUCUCUUUAACACAUUCCUAGCCUUUUCAGUCUUCAAUUUCAUUCAUCCACCUUGCUCCAAACAUGUGAUAUCCAUUCCAAGCCCAAAAAUGCUCUAAAAGGCACCAAAAUGCACUUUCUUACUACUUUAGUCAUUUGGAUCUACAAACACACGAAAAUAACUUAAAAUACUAAAAUAACUAGGAACUAAUAACAUAAAUGCAAGAAAAAGCUAACUAAGUCAUAUAAAUAUGCUCCUAUAUAUAUAUAUAUAUAGAUUAAAAAAGAGUGUAGGAAAUGGAGGGGUUCGAGAGUAGGGGUACUGGGAAGUAUUCAUGAGGCUACCUCUUUUAUGCUUCAAGAUCUCAAUUAAUUGUUGUUUUUUCAUGGUUAAGAGCAAUGGGGAAUUUUUUUGUCAUUAAGGGUAUAUUAGUACUUUUACAUUAAGUUUUGGUUAGAAUUAUCAUAAAACUAAAAUAAUGGCUAUAAUUCUUUAUGGGAUCUAAAAUAUGUUUUUCCAAAUUUCCCCACACACACACACACACACACACACACACACACAUUUAUAUAUAUUAUUUCAUCGUCAGGCUCACUAAUUUUUGGGGUUAGUAUUUUUAAUCUUGCUUAUGGGGUUAUGCUGCGUUUGGCUACUGUGGAAUUGUACCUACUCAAUUGAAGUAAAGUUUGAUAUUUAUUUACUUGAUGACUUCUAGGAAUAGUGAAGAUCUAAAAGAUAAAUGGAGAAUUAAAUCUAAUAUUCAUUUCGAUUAACUAGUUAAUUAAAUAGAUUAAUGUCUAGUGAGUUUGUAAUUUGUUUCUACAAUUAGGUCAAGCAAAUGCAGUUCUGUUUCAGAAACAGCAGCUGUUACAGUAAAUAAAUCUAAUAUUCAUUUCGAUUAACUAGUUAAUUAAAUAGAUUAAUGUCUAGUGAGUUUGUAAUUUGUUUCUACAAUUAGGUCAAGCAAAUGCAGUUCUGUUUCAGAAACAGCAGCUGUUACAGUAAAUAAAUCUAAUAUUCAUUUCGAUUAACUAAUUAAUUAAAUAGAUUAAUGUCUAGUGAGUUUGUAAUUUGUUUCUACAAUUAGGUCAAGCAAAUGCAGUUCUGUUUCAGAAACAGCAUCUGUUACAGUAAAUAGCUCAAUUGUUUCUGGUGGAUUGGUGCUCCUUUUCAUUUCUUUUUUUGGUUUAGGGCAAUGUCGUAGAUAGACACCUACAUUGUAGUGGACCUAGAUAUACAACAGGAAGAUGAGUUAAUUUUGUUUCUCUAAAAAUUCAGCGUCGUUAUUACUCAAAUAUAAACUGUUAGUUGCAGAUUUUUGUAGCAUUAUUGCAACUUCAUAUCCUUAGUUUAUGUAAUUUGUCUACUUGGGUUGACAUAGAAAGACCAAAAAAUUAAACACAAUUACCUAUCAGAUACGCCGUGGAACAGUAUCCCUACUUUCAUAUUCAGCUUCUCUUACCUUAGAAUAUUUGAAACCUUGCAGAGUGUCACCUCAACCUUUUUUCUUCCCUCAACUCCAUAUGGAAAAACUUGAAUGAACAAAAACUCCCUAGCUAGGAAUCGGUACAAGAAUUAUUGAAACAUAAUUAAUUGGACAAUACAUAAGAAAAUUUUAGUUGUCAGUUAUAAAAGAAGGGUUACAAAAUAAUAGCAGCAAGUUCUCAUCUAAAAAAUGUAGCUCGGAUUGAGUAAAACAUUAACAUGUGAGAAAGCAACUUCUGGUUAGAAAGCUUUCCAUGUAGGACUAUCCAAGCCAUCUUCAAGCCCCAACUGGUAUGGAUCUCCAAAGGGCAAUGCAAGAAUCAUAUGUCUGUAAAAAUAUUUUUCAAAACACUUCUAAUUAGGCUACAAUCUUUGUUAAAAUUUGUUUUAGCACUCGUCCUUCUUGAUUUUAUUGUUUUUGUGCUUAAACUAGCAAUGGUAUAUACUAUAUAUAACAGAAUUUAAAUGAAUAUGAAUAAAUACUCGGAUUGUAAAAUAGUGUAUAAUAGUAGUGCUCUUUAUUAAUUAACUCACCGGGGUUAGUUGCUAGGAAUCGUAUGGCAACCCAUUCACCAGACAGCACACCCACGGUAUUUCUUUCAACGGCGUUGAUCAAAUUAAAGUUUGCAGAGUCCUUAUUCCGGUCAAAGUUCCCGAACCGUUACCCAACAACAAAGAAAUUAAAUCCAUGCAGAUGAAAGGGGUCGCUUUCGGCGCCCAGAAUGCUUGUGUCUUGCAUGACCAACUCCGCCCUAUUGUUCUAUGGAAGUACCAUUAGUUUUGUACUACCAUAGUAUCAUUAGUUAGGAUGCCUGUAUAGUCAAAUGGAAUUAUAGGACUGCUUGGAAAGUCAGGGCUCUCGUUAAGUGGAAUUACAGGACUGCUUGGAAAGUCAGGGCUCUAAACCCCAUUCGAUUGCCUGGAGAAGUUCGCUUGAAGUAGAGCAGUCGUUGUGUUGAAGGAAUGAAGUGUGUCCCGAUGGGUUUAGGGUGUAUCUCUAGGGUAAGCUUUUUUUUUUGGUCAACGAUCUCUAGGGUAAGCUUAAGGCUAUAUUGUUGUGAAUCAGUUUUUCCUUAAUUUAAGGGAAGUGACUGAUUAGUGUAAAGUAGAUAAAGCUUUUCCUUGAUCUAAGGAAGGUGACUGAUUGGGUUAAGUAGGUUAGCUCUAGUUGGCUGUGAUAGACAGCCUUCUUUUAUUCCUCCUAGUCAGCUGCUUGCAGUAGCUAACUAUCCGGACCUCUUCUUCUUCUCCUCUCUCAUAUAUAACUUGUCACUUGUACAUUUGAAUAUAUGAAAAUACAUUGAAACUUAAAGCUAGAAAAUCUACACGUUGGCAUUGCAAAAGAAACGUUAUUAACUGAAGCUGCAAACAUUGUUCCAUUAGAUCCCCGAAAGGUUUGGUUAUUGUUGCUGCAGGGGUUCGUUCCAAGGCCUAUUGUGAAGAAAAAGUGUUUGUUAACCUUAUGGGGGACAUUAGCAGGAAAUUGUGCAUUGGCUAAUUAUUUGUAUCAUAUUUACGGAUUGAAAACAUCUUUUAUGUGAAAUUGAAUGACACACAUAUCCCAGUAAUCAACCUUGGAUGCUAAUUUUAGAUUUUAAUGCCAUUACUAGUUUAAAUGAAAAAGUAAGGGAUCAACGAGUAGUCACAAACUACAUGUUAAUUUGUGGACUUCCAGAAUCGAGGAGCCUUUCAAGUCUUAAUGCUUCUUGAGUUCCUUUUACGUGGACUAAUAGUCAUAAAGAUAAUAUUGUUAUCUUUGAAAAGCUUGAUAGAGUUAUGGCCAACUCUUAGUGGUUGUAUACAUUCCCCAAGUAUAGGGUUCAUAAGGCCAUCUCCAACCGAGGGUUGGCCAGAGGGCUCGUUUUAGCCCUCUGGUCCUCCAAGAUAUUAAUAUUUUAAUGAACAGUACAAGGCCAUAUUUGCCUCCAUCUCCAAUCGAGAGCCAAAGGGCCAUAUGACUCAUUUUAGCCCUGUCACAAAAAAUCGUCUCCAACCAAAGGACAUAGGGCCAAACAUAAUUUAUUAUUUAAAAACUACAAGUUAAAUUCAAAUUUAACAGCUAAGUGACAUUAGCAUGAUGUCAGCUAGCAGUUGGUAGCUGACUUCAUGCUGACAUUAGCUAGCCGUUGGAUUUGAAUUUAUUUUUGCUAUAAAUAGGGUGGAUAUUGGGCUAUAAUUCACACAACUUUGAAUUCAAUCUAUUUCAAUUCAAUCUCUUUCAAUUCAAUCUUUUUCAAUUCAAGUUUGCCUUUUAAUCCAAGAACUAGUAGUAUCUCUAUAAAUGAGUACAUGAGGCACUAUAGAAUGAUACGUUCUCGUGCUACAAACAAGUACCUACAACAGGAUCUUGUUGCACAUCUUUGGGCCAAAAGAAGCAUGGAGUAGGCGUUUAAGUUUUAUGUUUUUAAAAAUAUUGUAAGUUUCAUGCUGUUAAAUGUUUUUUUUUAUGUUGUAUAAUUUGUAUGUUGGUUAAUGUUAUUUAAUGUUGUUUCAUAUUGUUUAAUGUUGUUUCAUGUUACUUAAUUUAAUUUAAUGUUGUAUAAUGGCUUAGGACAUUAUAGGAAAAAAAAAUAUAAUUUAAAAAAAAUAUGAAACAAAUUUUGUGAAAUAACAGUUAUAGGAAAAAAAAAUAGAAGUUAAAAUAAAAUGAAACAAAUUUUGUGAAAUAGAAGUUACAGGAAAAAAUGGAAUUAAAAAAAAUAUAUGAAACAAAUUUUGUAAAAUAAAAGUUAUAGAAAAAAAAUAGAAUUUAAAAAAAUAUUAAAAAUAGAAGUUAUAGGAAAAAUUUUGUAAAUAAAAAAUAAUAAUAAAACUGUAAAAAAAAAAAAUCAAAUGCACAGCUAGCUGACGUCAGCUAGCCGUUGCAUUUGAAUUUUAGCUUUAGCAUUGGCCAGCCUCGAGCUGGCUAGCUACAUGCAGCCAGCCCUCCAGCCCUUUCAGAUUCCAUGGGGCCCUCUCAGAUUCCACGAGCCCUCUGGCCUAGCCUCGGUUGGAGACGGUUUUUUGGUUAUUUUCGGCAAUUUGGCCCUCUGGUCCCUUUAGUUGGAGAUGGCCUAACUUUCCUAUUUUUGGCUCUAACCAUAGCCCCGUUAAACUAACUUUUUUGGACAAGACUGCUAACUUCUAAACAAAUUUCAAAUUUGAAGCUAUUUGGCUUAAUGAUCCUGAUUGUACUAAUUUGGUUAAAGAAAGUUGGUUGGCCAAUUUCCAGGGUCAUCUAAACGAUAUGUUCAGAGCUUGUGAUAAUUCCUUUAAAUUCAAAGCGAAAGCAUGGAGUAAAAAUAUCUUCGGUAAUGUGACAAAGAAGAUAAAAGAGCUCCUAAGUGAACUGGCAACUGUUCAGGACUGUAUGAAGAAUCCUAAUAGGAAUGAUUGGUUGGAGAAGGAAAGGAAAUUAAAUGAUUCCCUUGUUGCUUUGUACAUGGAUGACGAAAUUCUCUGGGCUCAAAGACUUAAGGCUAACUGGUUGCAGCUUGGGGAUAGAAAUACCAGGUACUUCCAUACCUAAAUCACUAUAAGGAAAAGAAGAAAUGAAAUCAUAAAAAUUAAAGAUGAUCAUGGUAACUGGUGGGAAAAAAAGGUAAACGUAUGGAGGAUCUAUUUAUUCAAAAGUUUAAACAAAGGCUCACCAGCACCAUUCAAAGUCACAGAGAUAAUAAGGUGGAUGAAUCCAUAAGUGUUCUAAAUCCUGUAUCUCAGUAGAACAACAAUUUGCUCAUAAGGCCUGUAACUGAGGCUAAAAAUUUUUAGGCUGUGAAAGCUAUUGGGAGCUUAAAAGCUCCUAGUCCUGAUGGUCUCCACGCUAUCUUCUAUCAUGAAUGUUAGGGUCAUGUUAAGGGCUAGUAAACCUAUCCUUAAAAAUGGAAUGAGAUGGAUUGUUGGAAAUGGUAAAAACAUAAUGUUUUGGUCCCAUAACUAAAUUUUUCCUUUCCCAUUGUCCACUCCUAUUCAAGAUCAAUUAAUAAACUCUUUAAAUUAAAAUAUGAAAGUUAGUGAUGUCAUGGUAGAGAAAAUAUAGAACAAUGAGUUAAUCCUUCCAGUGCUGCCUAACGAUGUAGCAAAUAAAAUUUUUGCCAUCUCUAGCCCUUUAAAUGAUAUGGAGGAUGAGUUUAUCUGGGACCAUCUUUUAAUGGAAAUUUAUCAAUUAAAUUAACUACUUGGAUUCAAAUUGAUGAUGCUCACAGUAAACUUUUCAACGAUUUAUUCAAGAAAGUGUGAAAACUUAGUAUUCCACAUAAAGUUAAAUUUUUUGCUUGGUUGCUUAUAAGAAAUAGAUUGUCUACUUACAAGAGAUUAGAUAAGUAUCAUCAUAAUGGCCAAACUCUUUGCCCUUUAUGCAAUAUUGUAGAGAAUGAUCAACUACACUGUUUUGUUUACUAUAAUCAUGCUUAAGAAGUUUGGAAGCUUUGUAAUAACAUGCGUCCACCGCCACCACCCCCCCCCCCUUCCCCUCCCAUUACCAAUAUGAAUGAUUGGUUAGUGGGGAUGUUAGCUUUAGAUAAAAUGAUCUUUCUGACCUUAGAAAAAUCUCAAUUCUUUGUUGGCAAAUGUGAAAUGAUAGAAAUAAUUUUGUUUUUAAACAGAUUAAACCUUAUCCAACUUUCUGUCUGAUGACAACGACUAUAAUUGGAAAAGAUUUCCUAAAGGCUAAUUUGAAACAGAAACCAAGCAAGACUAAGCAACACCAUUAGAUGGAAAAUGCCUACAGAAGGCUUUUAUAAGCUCAAUUUUGAUGGGUCAGUGGAGGACACUUUUGCUGCUAUGGGUUUUAAAAUAAAAAAUCAUUAGGGGUGUGCUCGCUCGACAUCUUGGACCAAUCACUAUCACCAUGGAAGAAGCUUAGGCUCUCCGGGAUGCUCUGGCUUUGGCCAAAUAACGUCAAAUCAGGAAAAUUGUGGUCGAAAAGGGACUCAAAGGUUGUCUUUGAUGCAGUUUUUGGAAAGUGUACAGUACCAUGGAGAAUUAAGUCCAUCGUUUAGGACAUUAAAUGGCUUACCUCAUCGUUUGAGCUAGUAGAAUGGAACCAUUUCUACAACGAAGCAAACUUCAUGGUGGAUGCUAUCACUUCCCUUGAGCAUAAUUGUACUAAUUUAUAUAUGUGGGAUGGGUGUGUUCCUCACCAAGCCAGAAAAAAAAAGCUCUCUUGUAUUAUUCUCGAGGCCUUGGGUGUCAUUGAAGUUUCUAUUUAAUUUAAUCUUCUUUCUUCCUAAAAUAAAUUAACACAAAUACAUGUGUGAAUGACUAUAUACAAUUGAUAUAAUAUGGUCAUGUGCAUGGUCUAAAAUAUCCAUAAUAUCCCGAUAUUUCCAUCGAAAUUUCCGUGUUUUUGGACUACAGAUAUUUUUUUGGACUACCGAUAUUUCCGAUAUCAUCGAUAUUUAGACCUUGCUAAGUCACUCAUGUAUCUUACCAUGCAAUGUAUAAAGUGUAAAAUAUUGUACUAAUUCAUUAUAUAUAAAUGAUUAUGGUGUGUUUAAACUUCUUUCAUUAAUUACUACAUAUUUUCUACACUCACAAUGUUUGCCAGCUCGCUAUCUAAUCAACUUAAAUCAGUUAUACCUAUCAUGCAAUGCAUUUCCUUCCAAUUUUUUGUGUUAAACUAAUAGAUAAUUGACUAAAUAAACAUCGUGCAAAGUUUCAAUAAAAAUUUCCAAUUUUUUCUUAUAAUUUCCGUAGUUUUUAUUCAAUUUUUAUCGAUAUCGAUAAUAUCUCGAUAUUUCCAUCGAAAUUUCCGUGUUUUUGGACUACCGAUAUUUCCGAUAUCAUCGAUAUUUAAUACCUUGGUCAUGUGUGGGAAAAAUUAGGAAUUCUCAAAGGAAUGAGCUAAAUAUAAAAUAACAAAAGGAAAGGAAAAAUAAUGCAGAUCAACGGCCACCAAUUUAAUAACGGAAGCACAACACAAAAUUUAAAGACCAUCAGAAAAGAGGUAAUCGGCUUAGUUGUACUUGAAAAUGAUUGUUAUUAUGUUGCUUUGGGCUUUUGGAUGAUGGGUUAUGGUAAAGCCUCGUUUGGGCCAAAAGUCUUAUCUUGGACUAUAAUAGCCUAUUUCACUUCAGUUGUUAAUUACUUGCGCCCAAAUCUACUUGGACCAUAACAUGUGUCUUAAUUGUUACUUAGUACUACAGUAUAGUGAUAUUCUUCUUUACUUGUAAGUGACAGGUCUUAGAUUCGAUUCUCGCUAAAUGCAAAUUUGAACCACAUUAUUGCUAACUCAUUGUGAGGCUUAGCCCACUCCCUCACCCCGUUAGUGUAGAUAAUAUCGUUUGUUCCAAAAAAAACAUAUGUCUUUAUUUUAUCUUAAAGUUUUUCUAGAGUUGAGGAAUUGGUUGCAACUUUUGUUUCUUAAAUUUUGUGUUCUAAACUCUCUUUUAUUUGUCAUACAUAUAUACAAUAAUGUCGCUUUGAAUAUAUUAAGUCAUUCCGGAACCUCUUCUAACUAACGAACACAUACCUCCUUUCACUCUCCCUAUUAUCAACUUAUCACUAGGCAAAAAGAGGCGUCACAUUUGGUUUAUGACUAAUUGUUAAAUUGAGCAAUGAGCAUUGAAAAUAGCUUAUUUUCAACAGGUAAAAAAGACUAACCGUUAUGCCUCAUGUAAAUACAAGACCAGGACCGACUGUGAGAUUUUGGAGGCAUGAGGUAGGCCAAUGAAAGGGGGCCCUUGUGUUCUUAGGCAAUCUUACGUUUUUUUUUCCUUUUAUUUUUUAUUUUUUAUCAAUUAGGCAAUCUUACGUUGUACGUUGAUGUACGUUGCUUUUUGGGUUAAAAAUCACUAAUUUAUUAUUAUAGAAUGCCUUAGAUGAUACAAGACUUAAAAAAUCACAAUAAUAAAUUAUUGAAAAACACAUUAAUUUCAUAGUUUCUAUUUGAUUACCUUAAAUCGCAAUCUUGUAGAUCUUGUGAGAUUUGAUUUCCACCAAUAGAAUAGAGAGAUUGAAAUUUGAAAGAAAAGAGAGAAUUGCAAGAGACUUUGGGUGCGUUUGUUUGGGCUCGUUAACUCUUACUGGACUCGCGUGGAUUAUUUCCACCGCUAGAAGUCUUAGCGAGACCCAGAAACCCAUGAGACUGCUAAGACAUUCGUUGCAUUUUCAUCUUCUCGCCUUCCUCUCUGCAUCGCAUCCUCCCUCUCCUCUCUUUGCUCGCGUCGCCAACAUCGUAUCGUCUGGUAGUUUUGAUUCUCCCGUCGCGUCCUCUAUGCACUUUGGUCUCGACGUCGUCCGAUUCACUCCGAGCUUGCAUGCACCCUCGCUGGUAGACAAAGCCCAAAUUUCCUGGAAUUACAAAAUCCAUUCAAAUCGCAAAACCCACACUUAAAAUGCAAAUCCCAAAAUUGAAUUGCAAAAUCAAGUUCGUCUGAAGCUCACCAUCUGCACAUCUUUUUCAAUCGUGAAACACAGAUUUAUGCGGAACAACUUUUCAAGAUAAUAAUAAUAAUAAUAAUAAUAAUAAUAAUAAUAAUAAUAAUAAUAAUAAUAAUAAUAAUAAUAAUAAUAAUAAAAAGAGAGAAACAGGGAGAGCUUUUUUGAGAGAAAGUGUUCUUGAAAAAGGGGAGAAAUGAAAAGAAACCAGAAAAGAGGGAGAGCAUUCAGAGAUGGUUCUGGAAAAAGGGAAGAAAGGAAAAUGAACCAAAAAAGAGGAAUAGGGGUGGGCGCGGUGCGAUGGGCUGCGGUGCGGUGCGGUGUGGUUUUGAAGUUAAAAUCGAAAUGAAAUCAAACUGUUUGGUUCGGUUCGGUGUAGUUUUAAAAGGUUUCGGUUUGAUUUUUGAGAAAAAAAUGUACAAUUUAAAAUAUACAUCUAUUUAUACAUAAGAUGGUCUUAUUUUCCUCAUAUAUUAAUUAAUGAAUAUGCAGCAACAACAAUGCAGCAAAAAACAGUGGCAAAACUGCAAAAAAAGUGCAGCAAAAAGCAGCAGCAAAACUGCAAAAAACAGAAAAACAGCAACAAAAAACUGCACCAAAACUGGAGCAAAAAACUCAGUAAAACUGCAACAAAAACUGCAGCAAAACUGCACCAAAUUUGCACCAAAACUGCACCAAAAAACUGCACCAGGUUGCACUGUCGCAAACUUACAGAGAUGCAAGCAGAAGUAACCAGGUCGCAUAAUUAAAGAUGAGUUUCAAGAAGACGAGUUAAGGAAAAGAUGAGUUUUAAGAAGAUGAGUUAAGGAGAUGAAGAUGUGUUUCAGCCUUCAGGAGUCGAAGUGCAAAACUAAAUGAUAAUGAUAGUCUAGUAACCUAGUUGAACUAAUUAAAAGUUUAAAAUAUAACAUUUAUUUAUUAAUUUUAUUAUAUGGUGCGGUUUCGGUUUCGGUGCGGUUUUGAAAACCCAAAACCGAAACCAAACCGUUUUCUUUGCCGCGGUUUGGUUUCGAAACCAAAACCGUUUCAAAACCACAAAACCAACCGUUCGGUGAGGUUCAAUUCGAUUCGUGUUUCGGUUUCGGUUUUCGGUUCCAAGUGCCCACCCCUAAAGAGGAAGAGCUUUCGUGAAAAGAAAAGAAUGUUCUAAAAAUAAAAAAUAAAGAAAAGAAAAAAAGAAAAGGUUAUUUUGCUUGUUAAUUCGGCACUGCACCAAAUGCUUCACUAAGUUAAUUUAGGUUAUUUAGUCUAAGCCAGUUUAACUUGGUCCCUAAACUUAGAGCUGGUUUGGUAUUGCUAUACUUUGAAAAAAAAACUGCUUCUGUUGUGCUAUGAGAAUAAGCUCAUUUUUGCUGCUUCACGUUUUCAGUUUUUUUUUUAUUAACAGAAGACACCUCAACAUGUUAGUUAGACACCUUAGCAUUUGAUUAGCUCAGUGGUUAAGUUUUAUCUAAAUAUAACAACUGUGAUUUUAAAGACUAUAUAUAUUUGGAUAAUCACUUGUAUUUUGUAAGUAUUCAUGUCAGUAAAUACAACUUGCUCUCCAAGAUCUUUUCUCUCUCUAACAUUUCAUUCUCUUUCUUGUUCUUCACACUUUGUUUCCAUUGUUGAAUCUUUGAGUUCUUGAGAUCAUGAUUUCUCUCUAGUUAUCAUGGUAUCCAGAGCUUAGGUUUCAAUAAAUCUAAGAGGAGGAUCCUGGUUGGUUCAUCUGGCGCUGCGAUAGCUGUUUGGCGGUGGAUUUGGUGGUUGUUUGGCUGGAAUUUCAAUUGUUGUUGGCAAUCGAUUUCUUUGUGUUUUCGUCACAUCAGGUUUCGAUUUCUUUACUGGUUAAUGCUACCUGUGUUCGAUAUUUGUGAAAUUUUUUGAAUUAUCUGUUUGUGUUGUUGAAUGCGAUGAUUCUGUGUUGGUAAUUUUCUAAGGCACAAAGCCUCUAAGUAAUUGUUUGGGAAUUUUUCAUUCAUCUGAUCAAUUCAAAUUCGAGCACGAAACUCCUUGUUAUCUGCAAUUUGUAUGUGAUUUGUCUCCCUGCAGUGAUUUUGUUGAAGACUGGACAUUUGAGUUUGUGAUGAGUUUUGUGGAUUGUUCUUUGUUUUCUUUUGGCAUGAAACCUGUUGAUGUUAAUUGUUGGCACGAAGCCUGUUGCUACUCAUUGGUGGCACGAAGCCUGUUGAUACUCAUUGGUGGCAUAAAGCCCGAUUUAUUCAUCAAUUUCUUGAGCACGAAGCUCUCUACAAAAGUUUUUUUUUUUUUUUUUGUGUUUAGCUAUUCGAUCGAAAAUUCUUUUGAAGCAUGGCGAUGAAUUCUAUCAAGAUGGACAGUUUAUUGGGCAUGUUAACUAUGCGAUUACAAGAUGAUAAUUUUGUGAAAUGGUCCUUUCAAUUUUGAUCUAUUCUUGAAGGUUAUGACCUAUUUGAGCAUUUUGAUGGUUCCUUUGUGUGUCCGUCGAAGUUUGUGGUUACUAAGGAGACUGGGAUUACUACUGAGAUUACAAAAGCCGAUAAGGAGUGGAUUAAACAAGAUAGAGCUCUUGUGAGUCUAUUACUUGCUACACUUGGUGAUGAAGCUGUUGAGUAUGUUGUUGGUUGCAAAACUGCUCAUGAAGACUGGACGAAUCUUCAAGACCGGUAUGCUACUGUGUCUAGGGCUCAAAUUAAUCAUUUGAAGACUGAGCUUCACACUAUCAAGAAAUGGGCUAAUAGUGUAGAGAAGUAUAUGCUCAGACUUAAGGCUUUUAAAGAUCAAUUAAUUGCAGCUAGUGAAGUAACAUUUGAGAAUGAUCUAAUUAUAGUUACUUUGGCUGGCUUACCUGCUGAGUUCAACAUGAUUCGAACUAUGAUUGUAGCUUGUGAGACUCCAAUUUCCUUUAAGGAAUUUAGGGCAUAAUUGUUAGCUGCUAAAAGAACUGCUAAAGAUCUCAUUCUACUUUGACUUUUCCAAUGUCCGACAUGUAUUGCCAUGGUGAAUCUUCUAAUGCUGCUCAAAACUCUUAGAGGUCUUCAUAAUAUUUUGAUGAAGGUUAUGGUUAUGUUGGUCAAAGUCGUGCUGAAUCUUCGAGUAAUGGUUCCAGACCAAAUGGUGGGCUAAUUUCUCAAGCUCAAUUGCCUCCAUUUCAUCAAUAGGGAAAUGGUCAUUUUCAAAAUCAAAGGAAUUAUCAAAAUUAUGGCAGCAAUAAUGGAAGAUUUAAUAAUCGACCCAGAUCUAAUAGAGGUAACAAUGGCAGAUUUUCUAGGAAUUCCACCAUGCCUUCUAAUAAUUUUGGUAACAGUGGAGGAAUUGGAAUGGCAACAUUGGUUCUAAGUCUACUCUGAUUCCUAAAUGUCAAAUUUGUAAUAAGCGUGGGCAUACUGCACCAAAUUGCUUCUCUUGGUAUUUUGCAAGUUCUAGCACUGUUCCUUCAAUUCUAGAGUGUCAAAUAUGUGGGAAACGAGGGCAUACUGCUCUUAACUGCUACCACAGGAGCAAUUAUGCUUAUCAGGAUGCUCAACCACCAUAUUGUCUCACUGCUAUUACUGCACAAACAAAACCAAGUUUUGCUUCUUCAUAACCAAAUUGGGUGCUAGACACAGGUCACAUGAUAGUAGAUUUGGAUAACUUGACUCUGGUGGCCCCUUUUGAAGGAAAUGAACGAAUUACAGUGGGUAAUGGUUAAGGACUUCCGGUUGCUUGGGUUCCAUUUUCACUCCUUCGAAACUAUUAACUUUGCAAAUGGUUUUACAUGUUCCUAAAUUCGUUGCUAGUCUAUUAUUUGUUGAUAGACUGUGUAAAGAUAACCAUUGUUAUGUUAUUCUUGAUGAGUUUGGUUUUUGGGUGCAGGACAAGGCAACAAAGAAAAUCAUCGAAAGAGGAAGGAGUAGUAGUAGUGGCUUGUAUUACAUCCCUCAGCAACAUUUUUUCCAGUAUUCUCAGCUUUUGGACACUCCACCACAUGCUUUUUUAGGGAAGCUUGUGAAGUCUUCUAUUUGGCAUCAUCGACUUGUUCUAUAACCACGAGUUCAGCUAUUUCAUCUGUACUUGAUUCCACUUUGCAAAAGUUAUCUCAUACCAUAGUGUCUGUUGUUUUACCAAGGCAUUUGAAUGAGUUUGAGGAACAAUUAUCAAAUAUGGGAGUGCCAUCUUUGUCUUCUCAAAGUUCCAGUGUAUCUGCCAGUUUAGAUAGCAUCUCAGCACAAGUUACUACUCCUACUACUACUCUACUAGCAACUUCUUCUUCCUCUCAAGUGUUGCUUAUCCAUACUCAGACCCCAACUCAAGUAUCUUUUUCUUUUCCUGAGCCAUGAUAGGAGCAUAUUUAUGCAACUUAGUUAGCUUGUCUCUUGGUAUUUACUUAGUUUAAUUCUAGUUAUUUUAGUACUUUAAGCUAUUUUCGUGUGUUUGUAGGUUCAAAUAACAAAGUUACCAACAAAGUGCUAUUUGGAGCCUUUUGGAGCCUUUUUGGGCCAAGAUUGGAUAGUGCAAGCAUGGAGACAUAAGGAUGGAUGUUUUUGAAGAUUUGAAGGCUAAAAAUCAGCAUGUGUGUGUGCAAGUGUGUUGACCUACAACUCCAAACAUCCAUCAAUUACACCCAUUACAUCCACUCAUUACCAAACACUCAUCCACUACACCCAUUACAUCCACUCAUUACCAAACAUCCAUCCACUACACCCAUUACAUCCACUCAUUACCAAACACUCGUCCACUACACCCAUUACAUCUACUCAUUACCAAACAUCCAUCCACUACACCCAUUACAUCCACUCAUUACCAAACACUCACCCACUACACUUAUUACCAAACACUACACAUUACCCACUACACCCAUUACAUCCACUCAUUACCAAACACUACUCAUUACCAAACACUCGUCCACUACACCCAUUACAUCCACUCAUUACCAAACAUCCACCCACUACAACCAUUUCAUUACCAAACAUCCACCCACUACAACGAUUACAUCCACUCAUUACCAAACAUCCACCCACUACAACCAUUACAUCCACUCAUUACCAAACAUUCAUCCACCACACCCAUUACAUCCACUCAUUACCACAACACUUAUCACUACCACCUUAAUUAGACGGUGGUCCUCCCUAGCCUAUAAAUACAUCCACCCUUCACCAUAACAAUGGGGAAGAAAACGAGAGAGAACACAAUCCACCCAUCCACCCUUCACCAUAACUCACCUAUAUCCAUCCACCACCAUAAUUUACCACUCAUCCAUCAAACCACACCUUGUGCCACAAAAAAGAGAAAAAGGAGGACCCUUGGACGUGUUUGCCAUUCAAGUUGGAUUGUUGAAGCGUUUUUAGGUGUUUUCUUUCUUUUGUUUUCAAUGUGUAAAUUUGUUUAUCUUUGCUUUGUAAGUAUGAGGAACUAAACCCCCCCCUUAGCUAGGGGGAAUUCGAAACCAUGUUCAUGCUUGCAAUAUGAUUUGAUUACCUUCAGUUAUGAUUUCAUAAGUUGUGAAUUCAAUUUGUUUAACUGCUUGAUUGAUAACUUAUUCGUGUAUGUUUAUUAAGAGUGCACACUUAGUUUGCAUGCAUGAAUAUGAUGCUAGAGUAUAAGGGAGUUUCACCUAAUAGUUACAAACUUAUAUUCACAAGUAGUGGAGGUCGCUUAUAAACGAUCGCGUUAAAUAAAUUUUUGGCAGGAGUUUCAUGCUCAUCAUAGUAACGAAUGCCUCGUCAAUACUUAUAGUUUUCAUAAUGCUUAAUGAUCUUUGAUUGUAUCUUUAUUGUGCUUUUCACGUAAAAAACUUUUGAAGAAUGCUUGAAUUGUUGUAUGCGCUUUCCUAUCAAAUUCAAUAACUUAAGGAGAACUUGAAGGUUAAUUUAAGCGGACUUAAUUAACCUGGGGUGUUGAGUUUCAUGAUUGAUCGAAAGAACAACUGAAAAUUGGUUUAUGUGCAAAUAUGUCAUGUGUGGAGAAGAACCUCUUAGCUAGCCUUCCAUCCAUUCAAUUUACUCAAAUUCGUGCAGAUUUCAUUAGUUCUUUAAUUUACUUGUUUUGUUUUCAAAUUCGUCAAAACCAAAACCCCCUUUACUUUAAAGUGUUUUGUUAGUCAAAAUCUGUUUUGAUUUGUGUUUUAGGUGUCCCAAAAGUGUGUUAGAGUCCAAGUCUGCCCAGUUUGUGUUUUUAGGCAGAUUGAGCGUUUUUAGCUUGUUUUGAGUCCUUUGAGUUUGUUUUAAAUUCUUUGAGUCUAGUUUAGUGUUUUUAACUUUGUUUAUAUGUUUUUAAGUCAGUUUAGAGGUUUUAGUAAGCCUUCCUAAUCCCCGGUUUAGAACGAUCCCUACUUGCAUUUAUACUACAAUUUGACAACAAAAGGGUUUAAUUUGUGUGUUAAGUUAAAAUUCGCAUCAAGCCAUCUCAUACAUCUACAGAGUUUGAUACUCAAAUUACUCAUUCAAAUCAUGAACAUGAUGUGUCUAACACUGUUGUGCCUAGUAAUGUAGUAGUUGUUUCUUCUGAUCAUAAUAUGGUUACAAGGUUGAAAAGUAGUGCAAUCCAAAGAAGGAACUAUGCAGCUUAUCAUGCAUCUUUAUCUGAUAAUGAGUUUACCCUUCUUUCACAUACUGAUGAUGUAGUCUUUUGUGGUUUUACUUCUGUGUUGGAUACUCAUGAUUCUUCUGAGCCUUCUCAUUAUAAAAAGGCAGUUCUAUCUCAGCACUGGCGCAAUGCUAUGACAGAAGAAUUUAAUGCUCUUCACAAACAAGUUACUUGGGAGUUGGUACCUUAUCCAAAAAAUAAAAAUGUCAUAGGUAGCAAAUGGGUGUAUAAAAUCAAGAAAGAUCAAGAUGGCAAGAUAUUGAGGUACAAGGCUCGACUUGUUGCACAAGGAUAUAGUCAAUAACAAGGCUUGGAUUAUGAAGAAACGUUUAGCCCGGUUGUUCGACAUACUACAGUUAGGCUUGUUUUAUCUCUUGCUACUAUGCAUAAGUGGGACUUAAGGCAAUUAGACGUGAAAUAUGCAUUUUUACAUGGUGAAUUACAAGAAGAGGUGUUUAUGAAACUAACUCAAGGGUUUCAAGAUCCUUUAUAUCCUAACCAUGUUUGCAAACUUCUCAAAUCUUUGUAUGGUUUAAAACAGGCACCACGAGCCUGGAAUGCAAAGUUUACCAGUUAUCUUCCUACUUUGAAGUUUCAGUCUUCUCACUCUGAUCUGAGCUUGUUUGUGAAAUUCUGUGAUGGUGAUGUAGUAAUUCUUCUUUUAUAUGUCGACGACAUUAUUAUUACAGCAAGCAAUUGAUGAUUUGGCCUCUGUAUUUGACAUGAAGGACAUGGGCAAACUCACUUAUUUUCUGGGACUUCAAGUUACCUACAGAGAAAAUGGGGAUAUUUUUCUUAGGCAGUCAAAGUAUGUCAUUGAUCUUCUUAAUAAGGCAGGUAUGGUGCAUUGUAGGCCUUGCUCCACUCCUAGUAAACCUCAUACACAGUUAUUGAAGGAUGAAGGAGAAUCAUUGUCUGAUCCCACAGUUUAUAGAAGUUUGGUUUGUGCAUUGCAAUAUUUGACCUUUACUAGGCUAGAUAUUGCAUAUGCAGUCAAUUAUGCUUGUCAAUUCAUGAAUAACCCAAUAGAAGAUCAUUUCUGUUUGGUGAAGCUGUGCAUACUUAGGUAUUUGAAGGGUACUUUGACCUGUGGCAUUACUUAUUCAGCUACUGGAAAAUUGGAGUUGCUUGCCUAUAGUAAUGCUGACGCAGCUGAUAUCAAUACUAGACGAUCAACAACUAGAUAUGUUGUUUUCCUAGGAUCUAAUCUCAUUUCUUGGCAGUCAAAGAAGCAAGGCAAUGUGUCUAGGAGUUCAACAGAGGCUGAAUAUAAAGCAUUGGUUAAUGCAACAGCUGACAUUGCUUGGAUUCGACUGGUUCUUAAUGAUCUUCAUAUGUUUCUUCCUUGUGCUCCUGUGUUGCAUUGUGAUAUUCUGUCUACAUUAACUUUGUGUUCUAAUCCAGUCUUUCACACUCGGAUUAAACACUUAGACACUGAUUUUCAUUUUCUUCGUGAAAGAGUACAAAAAGGGGAUAUGGAGGUUCAGUACAUUCUUAUAGAUGCUCAGAUUGCAGAUGUCUUAACAAAAGGAUUACACAAUCCUUUGUUUGUUCGUCAUUGUUCCAAUCUCAGACUGGGUUAUCCCAGCUGAGAUUGAGGGGGAGUAUUAACAAAAGACACUUCAACAUUUGAUUAACUUAGUGGUUAAGUUUUAUCUAAAUACUAUGAUUUUAAAGUCUUUAAAUAUAGUCUUUAAAAUCACAGCUGUUAUCCAAAUAUAUAUAGUCUUUAAAAUCAUAGUUGUUAUAUUUAGAAUCAUGUUUAGCCUCCCUCUCGGUUGGAGAUGUUUUUUGUCACAUGGCUAUGUUUGGCCUAUGGUCAUUUGGCCCCUUCGGUUGGAGAUUGUAUGAAAUAUGGUAUGGCACUGUUCAUUAAAAUAUAAUUUCUUAGAGGGCUAUAGUGUUAAAAAGAGUCAUCUGGCCUUCUUUCGGUUGAAGAUGGCCUCAGUCUUUCUACUUGGGCAUUUUCUAUUAUAUGGAAUUAAUUUGAAAAAAAAAAAAACAUAAAUGCAUCCUUCGUGUUUCAAAUUGAAAACAAUUCACAAAAACCAGUUUUUUUCCCCACUAAGCAAGCAGUUUUUUUUUUUUUUUUUUGUUAUUUAUCUUACUUUUAUAGUGUGUGUGUAUAUAUAUAUAUAUAUAUCCAAAUAGAUACAUAAAAGAAAUUUGGGGCUAGUAAAUCAGAGGUCCUAGGCAGUCGCCUUACUCAGCUUCCCUCAAGGCUAGCCCUAUGUCACUAUAAGAGCAUUUCCAACUGUUGCUUAUAAGCAAGGGCAAAGGCAAUGCAAUUGCCCAAAACACCUCCAACAGGACAAUAAAAGAAAUAAAGGCAAGUGGUGGACCAAGCCAUGCUAGCCCAAAUGCCCAUGUAAGUUAAGCAUUGCCUUCCUCAACAGGCAUGGCUGACUCAGCCACGGUCUUUACGUUUUUUCCAAUUUGUAACACAUGUCCAAAAUCAGGGUGUGAGCCAACAAAACCUGCAAUAGUAGGCCUUGUUGCAACACUAAUUGAAGAGCCUAACGGCUCUAUGACGUGGCACGAUGAGAGCCGUUGGAUUUCCAACAACCUGAUGAUCUGGACUAUUGGAUUUUCAAUGGUAAAGAAUUUAAAAAGUUAUCGAUGCACCAUGUUGCACGUUCUAGUGCGUCAGAUUCAACAAUAAAAAAAAUCAAACGGUCAGGAGUAAUUUGAUUGUUAAAAAUGGAAGGAAAAAAAGAAGAAGAUGGCGAUGCAACAAAUACGGAAGAAGAUUCAUACACAAUUUGUCGAGCUGAUUCAACGCAUAUCCAGGUCUGAGCUAUCUCUAUUGAGUAUAUGCAAACAUCUAAGUAAGUCAACAUAGAGAGUUAAAAUCUGGGCAAGAAGCCCUCACAAAAGCAUAAUCUAUUUAUCAAAAUGGCAAUAAUAUAGCCAAUAAGGUAAUAACAUUUUAUUAUUAAUAAAUUUCAAAUGUGAUUAACAUGUUAUUAUUUGGACCAUCAGGUAAUUAAAAGUAAUCAUUGAUUAUGUAAUUUAUAAUGUUGUUUCAUAAUUCUUUGCUUUGCAUUUGAAAUUAAAUUAUUAGAGUUAAACAUGGAGUUUUACUUUCAAAGAACAAACUUACAAAGUGCACACUUAAACACUUACAAGGCAUAUAUAAAUAAAUAAUAUAUAUUUGUGAAUAAUAAUCGCCCUUAUCUGCGACAACUCGUCCUUAAUUUUAAGUUUUAUAAAUUUUAAAAUAGUGAUUUUAUGAAAAUGCCCUUAGAGGCAAGGAUGUUUGACUUUCGUUGACCAUUCGAAGUCACAAUUAAUGUUUCCGAAUAGAUUUUGAAGCUACGAACGCAUAGGCAAAAGCCGUUUGCGAGUUCGGAUUAUAACAGUAUAGUUACGGACAUUUGAAGUCGUUUCAUUAAACAAUAGAUUUAAAGGAAUAUAAACUCCCACCUUGUGGGAAAGAGGCCAUUCAGGCUAAAGGGAAGGAACCAAUCAGUUAAAUGGUGGAGGACCAAUCAGAAUUUAGGGGGGAGUGAGCAACCAAUCAAAGAGAAGGAGGAAAAAAAAGAAAAGAAAUGAAGCUUUCCUUCUCGACGACUUGUGCACCUGCACAGGGCUCAACCAAUUCCGCCAACUUUCGCCAUUUUCCCCAUCAAACCGCCAUCAUCCAACACCUGCAAUCCUUUCCACAACCUCCCCUCUACCAUCUCCACCCAAAUUCGAAGGUUUUUAAGUCCAAAACCGUGUAGAACCUCACCGGAGCACCGGAGGUGCUUGACGGUGAUUCCUCCGAUCCAGUGAGUUUCACCACCCACCACUACCCUUAAUCAACUCCCCUUAGACCCAGGAAUAAGAUCCAACCAGUGAUAGGGGCGUUGGAACACCGGCAAAGUCGAAUCGAUGAACACCUAUUAUAGGGUUUCAGACGGGUUCGUGGCGAUUUGAGGUUUUUUCGGCCAAAUUGGACUUGGCCACAUAUAUAAAACUUGCUCUACUCAUUGAGAUCUUCAUUUAAUUGAAAUUUGAGAAUUUUUAGAAAUAGUUUAUUUUUCCGGCGAGUUGGGACGGUCGACUGUCGUUUGCAGCGGCAUGUGGGCCGAGGCACCCCCUAACCUUCCUAAGCUAAGUUUGAUACCCCAAUUCCAUAUGUGAAGUCAGAUUGAUGAAAUCUCAUCGUUUGAACAUAGUUUUGAUAGAGACCGCUACUUGAUCCUUGUAUGAAUUGACGAACCGACCGUUGGAUCAUCACCAAAAUUUAAUAUAUUAUAGUAUGUAAUAUUUUAGGAUAUUAGAAACUUACGGAUUGGGAAUCCAACUUAUGGAUCUUCCUAAAAUGGAUUUGUAAGUUCGUAAAAUAAAACGUUGACCGCCACUUGAAUUUGCAAUUGGUGGAGAUCCAACCAUUGGAUCGUAAUGAAACUUUAGUAUGAUGUUCUAGAAGCAUAAUGUGGAUCUUUUGAAGUUACGGAUCAAAAAUCUAAGUUGCGGAUCUUCCGGAUUGAGUUACGUAGGAUUAUGGACCCUACCGCCAACCUUUGACCGAUGAUUGAAUUUUGGUCAAUGGGUUUCAAAUCAUUCUAGAACGUCCUUAGGGGAUGUGUUUUAUGUAAGUUACGUGUUCUAUCGAUAAGAAUUCUAAGACGUUAUUUGAUAUUUAUUCUAGGCGACGAUUGUUCGUGAUGCCUCGAUAUUCGUGCUAGGGAGUUGUAGCCCGGACCUCAGGUGAGUGGGUCUUUUUCUUUUUAUAGUGUAUAGAUAGAUAUAUAUAUAUAUACACACACACACACACACACAUAUAUAUAUAUAUGGUUGAUAGUUUCCACAAAUGAUUUUGAAUUGAUUUAUGCAUAUCAUGCUAUGAUUAAAUAUUGUUAUUAAAAACUUUGCAUUGUUAUGAAAUUGUGAAAUGCCAAACGAUCCUACGGGAUGCGCAGGUUUGAUCAGGUGAGUUUAAUUUGUGAUUGGAAUUGUUGCACCAUAUUGGCAUGCAUAAAUUCAUUUAGUGCUCAUCAUUGUUGCACCCCAGUGUUAGUCAUCCUGUCCUGGGCCAGGGCACAGCCUUCACGUGUAUGUUCACCUCCCGCAUCGCACACUUACCUUGGAUCCAAGUAGGUGCUAGCCUAUCGUAUAGACUCGAUUAGGCAGUUUGAUGCGAAAAUUAACUUAACACACAAAUUAAACCCUCUUGUUGUCAAAUUGUAGUAAUAAUGCAAGUAUGGAUCGUUCUAAACCGAGGAUUAUGAGGGCUUGCUAAAACCUCUAAACUAACUCAAAAACAUAAAAACAAAGUUAAAAACAUUUGAAUAGACUUAAAGAACUCAAAACAGGUUCACAAGACUCAAAAUAAUUUAAAGACACUCGAAACUGCCUAAAAACACAAACUAGGCAGUUUCUGACUCUAACACAACUUUGGACGAAAUUUGGGUUUUGACUUGACUCAGAACACUCUAAAACACAAACAAAACAUAUUUUAAACACUUUGAAACAAGAAAGUAAAAGGGGGAUUUAGUUUUGAUGAAUUUGAAACAAAUAAACAAGUUAUAAAACUAGGCAGAUUGUAAAACGAAUUUAAGAAAUAAGAUAAUGGAUGGAUUAGUUAGAGGUCCGUUCUUCACACAUGACACACUUGUAUAUGAAUUGAUUUCCAAUUGCUUUUCAAUAAACUAUGAUGCUCAACACCCCAGAUUAAUUAGAUACGCUUAAAUUAAUCCUCAGAUUUUCCUAAUUUCAUUGAAUUGGAUGAUUGCAUACAACAACCCAAAGCAUUCCCCACAAGUUCCCUACAUGAAUUGCAUAAUAGAGAUACAAGCAAGAAUCAUUAAGUUCUAUGAAAAUCAUAAGCAUUGACGAAACACUUGUAACUAUGAAUUGCAUGAAACUUAUGCCAAGAAUUCAAUUAACGCGAUUGUGAUAAACAACCUUCACUACUCAUGAAUAUAAACUUGUAACGAUUAGGUGAAACUCAUUUAUAUUCUAGCAUCUAAUUCAUGCAUGAAAACUAAGUAUGCAUGAAAACUAAGUAUGCAUCCUUAAAUAACAUACAAGAAUCAGUUAUGAAUAAAAUAGAUAAUUGAAUUGCAAUCACAACUUAUCAAAUCACAAUUGGAAGAAAUCAAUUUAAAUCUCAAGCAUGUUCAUGGCUUCAAACUUCCCCCUAACUAAAUAGUGGUUUAGCCACUCAUAAUUGCAACAAAAUUAGAAAAUAACAAAGUAGACAUUGAAAGCAAGAACGAAGUACACCUAAAACGCUCCAAAGUUCCAAGCUUGAAACGCCAAGGGCCUUUGUUUUCACCACCUUGUUGUAGCAUAAGUGUCUAGGAUGUGUAUGGAUAUAUGGAUAGAAUGGAUUUGCAUGACAUAGAAAAUGGAAAUGUAUGGAGAUGUGUUUGAAUGUAUGGAUGAAAUGGAAUGGAGCUCAAGGCAAGGGACUUGUGUUUGUGAAUGAAGCUCUUUUGAUGGAUCAAGAUUGUCGUUCUUUGGAAGGGGGGUGGUGGAUGUAUUUAUAGGCUAGGGAGAGGACCACUCCAUUUCCUUUGCAUGUGCAGAUUGCAUGGGUGUGUGCUGUCCAUGUUUCUCCUUUCCUUUUCCACCCAUUUUCUGAACCUUUCAGUGUUACAAUGCCCAUAACCUCUUCUAGAAAAAUGAUAUUAACAAUCCGUAAAUUGUUCUAGAAAAUAGACAUCCGUAGCUUUCCAGGCAUAUAAGGCUCAUUCUCUCAUUCAUUAUACGAUGUUCGUAACAUGCUUUCAAAGUCAGCUAAUCUGCACAGGCAGUUUUGACGAAUUUGUUGGCUGUCCAUGUUUCUCCUUUCCUUUGCAUGUGGUUGUGUCUUCUCUUUCUAGCUGUGCAUUUCCACUUGAUCCAAAGCCAAAUGAGUGCAAUCAUAACCCCAUUUGCUGCUGAGUGUUGAUGACAAAGCAAAACACAAAACAAGUGCCUUUACUUUCUCAUUUUAUUAGCCAAAUCCGCUUAGCCCUUUUCUAAACCUUUAAGUGUUACAAUGCCCAUAACUUCUUCUAGAAAAAUGAUAUUAACAAUCCGUAAAUUUCUCCAGAAAAUAGACAUCCGUAGCUUUCCAGCCAUAUAAGGAUCAUUUUCUCAUUCAUUAUGAGAUGUUCGUAACAUGCUUCCAAAGUCAGCUAAUCUGCACAGGCAGUUUUGACGAAUUUGUUGGUUGUCCAUGUUUCUUCUUUCCUUUUGCACACACAUGCUUCAUCAUUUCAGCCAAAUCAACACAUGUUCUCCAUCACAUGGCAGCUAUGAUGUUUGUUAGUUGUAGGUCACACACUUGCACACACAUAUGUUGAAUUCUAAUCUUCCCAAAACGUCCAUCCUCAUGUCUCCAAGUGCAUGCAAUCCAUUUCAGCCCAAAAUUGCUCCAAAAUGCACCAAAAUGCACUUUUCUUGCCAACUUUGUUAUUAGGACCUAACAACAUACGAAAAUGGCUUAAAACACUCUUAUAAGCAAUAACUAACUAAGUAAGUGCAAGAAAACAUGUUAACUAAGUCGCAUAAAUAUGCUCCUAUCACAGUUCCGACUCAUAGAUGACCCACGAUUUAUCGCUAGCCAUCACGUGAUCAUAGGACUAAAGCGUAUAUAUUUACACCCAGCUUGUCGUACAGGUCACACUAGGUGACUCCGACUCGUGUGCUAGCAUAGACUGAUGAGCAAUAGGUCCAUUCAUACAUGUCACAUUAGGUGACUCCAACUGGCACGCUAGUUGAUUAUUCACACCUGACUUACAUUUAUUUUUAUUGAGAUAUUGUGACAUGGCAUGCUUUUGUUGUCACUGCUUUUAUGCAUUGGUUCUUUAUGUUUACGUAGUGUUAUUUUCUGGAAACUAUACAUGUUUUACGGCAAGGGGUUAUAAUGUUUUCAUUGAAACUUUAUUUUUAGGCCCACUCAUCCUUGUUUUUCAUCCCUCCAGGUUUUAGCAGCAGAACUUUGUAUCGACGAGGAUUCUUGGCAAUUCUCAAUAUAGGUGGCUACCUUUGAGGGUAUAAUCAUUAUCCUAUCUUACUGUAUUUCACUUAUGCUCUGACAUCACGUGUGAAAUGGGUUCAUUCUCGCUCAUCGCGCACUCUUGUAUUUAGGCACUUUUAGGUUUAAAUUUAUUCACAUUUUCCAUCACACUACACUUUAUAACUUCGUCACCUUCCAGGUGUCGGCCAGCACAACAUGAUUUGGAGUCCAAGUAGACAUUCCGGAUCGAGGUGUGUCAUUAUCCUUGUUGAUCUAGUGGAGUUACACAAUGACAAUUACUUUCCAAAAGGGCAAUUGCCUUACUCCAACGAGUGUAACUGCUCUAAAGUAUCUCAUUUAGCAUAAAGAAUUAUGAGUAAAUGGGCUUAAACUUUGGUGCUCUCAAGUAGUCCAAAGUCUCAAUUAAAGAGCUUUUCAUAGGGUUUAUAGAGAUUGGCAACCUUCCACAAAUCAACUCCUCUUAAAUCGUAUGUAUUGGUUCCAUAUGAACUUGGUUGGUGUAAGGUUUAAACAAACGUUUUCGAAUGAUUCAUGUCUAUGUAGCCAUUUGCAAUUCACCUCAAUCAUUUAAUCAUUUCAAAUUCCUCUAUUUAAUAUUGCACAAUGCAUUUCUAACUAAAGUAGCCUAAAUUCAUUGGUAUUUGAUAACCUUCAUUCAAAUACAAUAAUAAAUCUAGUAUUGUCUCUAGCAUUGGUUUUAGCCUUCGGGUCUUUCACGUGAGAAGCAGUUAUAUGAGACGGGUUCAUCAUUACAUGAUUUUUUUUUAUCUAAUAAUGUGUUGUUAUGUAAAAGUUUUUCUUUACAUGGCAACAUAUUAUUAUAUUGAGACAUCAUGUCAUGUAACAGUAAACUCAUUUCAUAUAAAUUGCUCAUUUUUUUUACUCCAUUAUCCUUUUUCGCUUGGGCACCAUAAAGAAGUCAUCCAAUGAUCGAUGAUCAUAAAAAUUAAUAAAAAGAUAAUCUUUAGAAUUAAAGUGGAAUUUGAAAUGGAAUCAAAUUUGAAUUGAGAUCCAAACCUUCGUAUUAAACUAGAACAAGUUCACUAAAUAAAGGUGAGGCCAACCACCAACCAAUAUUUAUACAAAAAUAAUCGCAUUCCACUCCGACCCUACCGAAUUCUUCAGGCCAUUAACCACCAUUGAAUAAACAGUACAGAAAAUCAUAAAGUAAUUAUGCUCUUAAACCGAAAAGAAAUCGAGAGUAAUUAAUAAUUAGUGCCAAGAUAUCAUUAAUAUUAUUUUUAAGGAUUCGGACGCGUAUAGUGAUAUAUUCUAUCAUUACGUCUCUCAGAUUCCGCAUCGAUUGGUGCGAGAUAUUCUAUCGUCAAUGUUUCUCGGACACUUUCUUGUUAAACCCAUUUACUACAACUAGGGAUUAAAUUUUUUGCCAAAUUACCAACCAUAUUAUACUAAAGUUCUGUAAAAAAAUUUGUAUCAUUGGUAAUGAUACGAUAUUUGUAUCGUACCAUACAUUUUUGGAAGAUAAUAGUAUUCAAAAUCAUUACCAAUUAUAUACCAUACUGUAACACUACUAUUAAUAUUAUAUAAUUUAUUUAUUCAUUUAUAUAUAUUUACGUAUUAUUAUAAUUAUAUAUGCACUUUAUAUUUUUUUUCCUAGUCAUUUAUCCAAUCAUCUCACAUUCUAACCUCUACUUUCCCAAUAAAAAAACAUAAGCCUUCUUACGCUGCGACUCUUCAUCUUUUCACUCAUCUAGCCACCGACUUCAUCUAUGUUGCUCUAGUUUCGGCGACUGUCUCUCCGGAGUCCACCUCAUCUUCUCCUUUAUCAAAUUGGGAUGUCUUUCUCCCUGGCUUUGUCUAUCAAGUUAAUUUUUGUUUAAUUUUAAAGAAUGUAAAGAUGAAAUUUAAGAAUCUUUGUACUAUUUUUUUAGGGAUAUUGGGUUCUUUGAGCAAUUCUUCCAUCUGUUUACUUCUUUGUUUCUUUAAUGAAUCUUUAUAAAAUUCUCAUAAUUAAAUAAAAAAGUUUUAGAAACCCAAAAGGAGUGACCCAAACACGUUUGGGCCUUGAAUUGGGUUGGAAAAAAAAUCAAAUUUUGGCCCAAAAGAAUGACCCAAAACAAAGUGGUAAUUACCAUUACCAUAUCAUGUCAACCGAACUAUUUGGCAUGCCGAAAUUUGGUAUAUCGAAAGUUUGGCACAGUAAUGAUAAUAGAUUUUAUCAUACCAAAAGUUUGGUACGGUAAUUGAUACAUGGGUUUUGGUACGAUAAUUGUACCAAUACCACCCCUAACUACAACUAUCCAAUCAAAGACUAAUCCCGUUUCAUGAGAGAAUUAUGACUAAUAUCAAUUUCACGAGAAAUUUUUCAAGGUGACAGGAACCCACAUAACCAUGGACACUUUAUGUAUCCAUUUAAUCGGAGGAUGUCACAUGCCUAACCGAAGAAUCUACCUAAUUUAUUUUUAAUGAAAUUACGCUGUCUGUUCUAUUAAUAAAUCCACAAGGUUUAUCUUUUAAAAUGUUAAUUAAAUUAGAACUAAAACAGAAAAAUAAAAAUAAAAAUCUCCAAUCCAAAUAACCCCGUCCCCGGCGAGACACACCACCCCCGAUCCCACCACCACCACCUCUGAUCCCGUUCAAAUCUGGUACCGCCACCACCUCCCUCUCUUGCUCUUCCUCAUAGACGAACAAUAACAGGCACAGUGGCAGACGUCGACGCUAUUCUACCCCUCCCCGAACCCAUGCGGACCAUCUUCCUCAUUGUCAUCUUCAUCAGCAUGAUUUUCAAGUUUUUCUUUGACGUGCUAUCUUUGCUUCUUGUUGGGUUUUUUUGUAAGAUGUAAUCUGAAAAUCAACAAGUUACUAGGAUUACAGAUAUAACAAAUAUAACUACAAUAAAUCAAUCAAACAAUUAAAGGGAAAUAAACUUAUCUUCCAAAGCAGAGGAAGAAGACGCUAUGACUGCUAGGGUUUCAUAGGUUGUCUUCUACUUCCAGUACUUCAAAAUGUCUCUCUACCGUGAAUAGGGUUUGGCAUGAUUGAGAGUACAAGCAUAUGGAAGCAGGAACUUAACUGUGGUAUUUAUAUCAUUAGGGUUUUCAUCACAUCCGACCUAUCAUUGGCUAUGAAGAUCUACCCUAUCUCUCUAGUAUUUAAGUCCCACCAUGAUACGAUACCUUUGUAAUAAAUCUAUCAGAUUUCCUCUAGGUUAAUUGCAAGGGACAAGACUCCAUAAUCCUUAUUAGGUUAGGACUAUCGGAUCACUUUGGUUGCUAACCACUCGAUAGACAAUUGGCUUACAACAAAAAGAUCCAAUACAACAUUCAUUGUCAUUCACAAUCUUAUAUUCUCCCACUUGAAUGUCAAUAAUUCAUCCUAACAAAAUAAGAACUCAUUGUGAUCACUGAGUCUUCAUAAGUAUGCAAUAACCUUUCCUAGCAACCUGUCACUUUGAAUCGAAUGCCGAACCAAAGAAAAACAAAGAACAACUUGGUCUGUUCCUUGCACUCCAAGAUCACAUACACAUUCAACUUAAAGCACUUUGUUGCUAACAAAGUCAUGGUGUCAAGAGCUAAUAGUCAAAACAUUAGCUCACAAUAGUCAAACUGAAAAUAUGAAAAUAUAUUUCAGUACAAAAGUAGUUCACAAAAGAACUCAACAACGUUGGUAACAACAUCCAACUUCUCUGUCAAUUUAGAAUAUGAUAAGAGAACAAGUAAAAUAUGACAUACUAUUUACAAAAUCAGAACCUCUUAUUAAAACUUAUGAACAAAACUUAAACAAAAUUUACUCUUAAAAUAUCAGCCACUAACACUUCAAAAUUUUAACACAAAAGGUAAUCUCUUACUCCCACUGAUUAGUAGAGAUAAACAAAUUAUUACUCCCACUGAUUAAGAGAGUAAAAAAAACUUUAUAAAUGCCUAUAAAAUGAAACUGACACCUUUCAAAUACUCCCAUUAGCAAAACAUUAGUCAUGGGAUCUAAAACAUAAAAUUUGUGAGCUCAACAUCUUUAUUUUAGAUAUUUGUAGGGAAGUGAUUCUCGUGACUGAAAAACUAUACAAAAUUAUUUGGUCAGUUUUGUUCAUCUAACAAUUGACAGAAAUAGAAAACUUUAACUGAAUGUUUUCUAAUGCAUCAAAAGCAUAUAAUUCUAGAAUCAUCUUUGGAUAGAAACUAAUUAUAUUAGGUUUGUAUAGCUAAAACAUAAAAUACAAGGGCAAAUGUAUAUAGCUUCAACACUUUUGAGCAGAUGAAGUAUAUGCAAUCUUGUCAAUUUCAUGUUUCACCAUACAUUGAUUUAUAGUUGUACUGAAAAAGAAAACACUUUUGAGCAGAUUAAUUAUUCAUCAAUAACAUAUAAAUCACAAGUCCAAUUUCUUGAACAACAUACAAGAAUUAAUAAGCAAAACACUUUUGAGCAGAAUAUACUCAUUAACCCUUCUUGAAUUUCCUACAAGAUUAGUUGCAUAUAUAACAAAUAAAAUAUAAAUAAGUAUGAUAAUGUACGUUUUAUCUACCAAAACUAUGACCAUUAAAAGCAUGCAAAAUUGAUGAGUGUGAAGCCCAUAAUACAUUAUUUCUCCCACUUGGGCAAACACUCAAAAUUGCAAGAUUAAACACUAGAGAAAGUGAUUUUCAUUUAACAAAAUAUAUGCAAGUUGAAUCAAUCAAGAUCAAAUACAUAAUUUUUUUUUUUAAAGUAGGUUAGAAUUAAAAAGUUCCAUAAAUAAAAACUUAUGCAAUGACUACAAAUUUUAUUUUAUUUUAGUGUAUGAGAGAAGACUCACAUAUGUGUUAAAGAUUAGGUCAUCAAUUAAAAUGAAACCUAAUAAGAGAAUCUGUUGAUGCACAAAUAUCAGCGAGGACUUUGGUACAACAGAAAGUGUCAGGUUGUGACCUUCGCUUGGUUGCUUCGAUCACUUUUGAAGAUAAGUACGUAAAUGAAUAGGGACAGGGAAGCAAACACAAGAUGUACGUGGUUCACCCAGAUCGGCUACGUCCACGGAGUAGAGGAGUUCUCAUCUACGAUGCAUGGACACGGGGAAAACUCAACGUAUCCCGUAUCUGACACGCAGGGAUACGGAUACGUACAAAAUACGUAUGGAUACGCGCCCGAUACGUAUCGGAACGAAGGUAUACGUUCUUUAUUACCAAGAUACGCGUAUCAUAUUGUCGAGAUACGCGUAUCAUAUUUUUCGGAUACGUUUCAAGCAAAAUCAGAGGAUAAUCAGAAAAAAAAUCCAAUAGAUCCGCACAGAAUCGUGAUUGAUUCGAAUUAGAUAACUUAAACGAUUGUUUAACUAAAAACCAAAACGAUUUCGAACCUCAGAAAUCAGACUCAUCUGCAAUUGCUCCGUCCGUCCGUCGUCUCUAUCGUCUCCGUCUGCAACUGCUCCAUCGUCUCCAUCGUCUCCGUCUGCAACUCCUGGUGAGAGCCUUCGACUUUGUUUUCACUUUGUUAAUUUUGAAGCUCAAUCUGAUUGCAGAACCCCUCUGAAAUUGAAAGAAACAUGCUGCUCUGUUUUUAUUCGAAGCUAAAAGCCCCAUUUCUGCUUUAAGCCAUUGACUAAUUCAAUGUAUCUGUUAUGCAAAAUUGAAAAAGCCAAAACCCAAUUUUGCUUUCUGUAUAAUAUAUUAUUUUGAUCUUCGAAGAUCAAUCAAUGGGGUCAGAUGGUGUGCAAUCAGUAAUCACUUAUCUGUUAUACAAAAUAAUAUUAUAUACAAAAUACUCGUGCCCACUUUUGCUUUCUGUAUAUAAUAUUAUUUUGUAUUUUGUAUAUUAUAAAUAAUAUACUAUUGUGCUUUCAUGAUAUUUAGAUUAUAAUAUUUUAUGGAUUUCAUGAUGUAUUUUUUAAUCUCUUAAGUUAAUAUAAAUUUCUCGUGUAAUAGUCUCUGUCUAUACAGUGGAUUGACUCUUAUUGUUUAUAUAUUUGAUUCUUACAAUUUACAUGUUGAUAAUUUAGGAAAAUGAAUCAUCCUGAUAAUCAUGCGAAUGCUAAUGUCAACCUAGUUGAGAAUGUUGAAAAUGAUCAUGGUACACUAUGGAAGUAUGUCAAAAAGCUCGAAAGAGUGGAAAAUGGAAGAGGAGGUAGUGUGUUUCAAUGCAACUAUUGUCAAAAGAUUUUCAGAGGAUCUUACUCUAGGGUCAAGUUUCAUUUGUUAAAAGUGUCUGGAAAUGGGAUCGUCUCUUGCAAUAAGGUUACUGAUGAAGCUCUUGCAGAAAUGAAAAAGCUAGCUCAAGAAUGAGGGACUCUUUCUUUUUAUUUUUUAAGUCGUUUGGAUGUUCUUUUUAGUUUUUCAAGUUUGAAGACUAAUUUGUUUAGUGGAUUAUCUUUUAAAUGUUUGAAGUUUAUCGAAAUAAAUUUGAACUUGAAUAGUAUAUUUGAAUGCUUAUUUUAUAAUAUUUAGAUAUAUUUAUUUAUUUAUAUUAUUUUUAAUUGCCGUAUCCUUGCCGUAUCGUGUCUUCAUUUUUAGAAAUUUGACGUAUCCCCGUGUCGUGUCGUAUCGUAUCUCCGUAUCCGUGUCCGUGUCCAUGCAUCAUAGGUUCUCAUUAAUUGUGAAGGGUUUACACAAAUACAUAGGUUCAAGCUCUCAUUUUGUGAGUUCUAGUGAAUAGUUUAGUACAAAAUGACAUUAGAGAUUAUUGUGGGAGAAUGAUCCCUAUUUAUAGAAGAGAGUUUCUAGUUUUGUUCUAACAUUGACACGUGUUGUGUUGUGAUUGGCUUCUGAUGUUGACACAUGUCGAGCUGUGAUUGGCUUCUGAUGUCGACACGUGUCGCAUUGUGAUUGGCCUCCUGGUUGAAGGGAAGCUCUUCUGGUCCUUGACGGUAUAACGUUGACCGGUGCUCAGUAGUUUCGGGAUUGGUCAAGUAUGGUACAAACAAAAUCCAAACUCAAAAUUUAUGUUUUAAUUCUAAAACAAAGUCGAGUAAAAUAAACACUUAGAUAUCUCAACAACAACAAUUUUUUUUUUUUAAUAAUUUUAAUCCAAUUUAGAACUCACAGAAAAUUAAGGCAAAAGAUUGGCAAAUUUACCUACUCAUUCUUGAUUCUGCGAGAUUCAUCAUGGAAUUAGUCGAGUUGUGGAGGAUCGAACCAACUCCAAAUUGCAUGAUUGUUACACCUUCGGGCAGAAACUAAUCAUGCAAAGAAAAUACCUGCAUAGCUAGCCAAAACAUAAAAUACACAAAAUACAUAUAGCUUCAACAGCUUUGGCCAGAUGAAAAUAUGUUAGAAGUACUUUAUGAUAUAAUACUAUUUUAUAAUUGGUGAGUGAUUUCCUGAAAUUCCCAUUGGGACAAAAGUAUUCACCAUAUAAAUUAGAAUUCUGAUUUUUCAAAAUAAUCCUUUAGAACAGUAUUAAAUAACCGUUUUGUUGGAUAUUCAAUGAUUCUCAAAAGAUUCAAUCAGACACAAAAGUAUGUCAUUAUUGACAUUGAACAAUAGAGUUCUCGAAAGAGGAAACAUGGUUAUUCAGGUAUUCGAUAGAGACCAAAAUGAUCAAUUAGUAAACUAAUGCCACUUUCCAAUUUUCUCUCAAAAGACAAUCAUCAUAAUCAGAAUUGAUGACCAAACAAAACAUUGGUUUAAGCAAAACAAACCAAUACAUCUUUAAAUCAAAAUUUAAUCAGUGUUGUCUAUAUAAAAUUCAUUAGUAUUGAGAAUUUGCAUAUAAUAAGGACAUAUCGGAACCAUAACCUUGUAUAAUAAUCGGUACCAAUAGAUGUGCACAAAUUAGUGAAACAAUAUCACAUAACAAAACUAGUUUUGAAGUACCAAAAUUCAGCAGUACUACUUUAGUUUGCAAAUUCACUAAAAACUCAAUUCUCUUUAGAUUGUCCUGAAAAUUUUCAAGUAUGAACUAGACAUAUAUGACUACUAUUUCGAAAAAUUUCAUGAUUUUUAAAAUCUUAUAAGUGAGCCAAAAAUGAAUUCGAAAAGAGAGGUGCUACAGCAUUAAUAUGUGUAUUUGAUAUAUCAAAAUCUCCUUUUUAAGAUAAGAAAACAAUUUAAAAAUGACACCAAAAUGGCCACGGCAUUAAUAUGUGUAUUUGAGAAAUUUCCCAAAAGCACUUGAGUCUCAACUUUGCAAUUUUAUGUUUGAAGAUAAAAGUCACAAAGGACAAACGUAGCAAACAUAAAUUGUAAUAUUAUAUAUAUUAUAUUAAACGAAGGAUAAAUUAGACUUAUUAAUCCAACAACUCAUAUUUGAUUUUAGAAAAGAAAGUCUCAACAUUAAUUGGUCCCAACCAUCAGUCAUAGAAGCAUAAGAGAAAAUCAAAAGUUACCAAAUUCUUAUUCCUGAAGAGGGAUGCUUCCAGGCAUAACGAUAGAUGGAAGCGUAAAUCAACUUAAUUAAUAUGUAUGGGAAAGUUAGUUUGCAAAGCAGUUGGACUUUAUAUUCAAAUUAGUUUAACUAAUCAACUAACACACCAAAGUGGCCAUACCAUUAUUCUUGUAAACCAUUACUCAAAAAUAUGCAGCAAACUGGAAUAAAUGAAAUUAAAUGCAAUUGAGGAAAAUCCUCAAAGCCUCAUUCUAGGCAUUAGGAAUGAAGGCCGAGAAAACAUAAAAUGUGAACAUGAUAUAAGAUCACAAUGGCUCACUCAAGUUAUCUCCUAAUGGCAAGUGAUUCACAUUGAAAAAUCUUCGAAAACAACCAAAAUUUUAAACCUGAUCAUUGACACGGUGCGCUAGGAGAAAGAAGCAUGCAAAAUAAUUAUUAACUUAAAAUGGGAUUCCAAAACAAGGAACCCUAACCACUGCCCAGGAGCAACACAAAUGCCAACCAAGCGGAUCAAAACCAAUCUUGAUAUUAAUCAUGUUAAAAAAAAAUAACAAUAGUUAAAUUAUUUAUAUGCAUAUGUGCCAAGCCUUCGAACUUUAAAUCCAAUGCAAAAUUAUAUAUAUAUAUAUAUAUAUUUGAGGUAUAGCCAUAUAUAAAGCAAUCAAAUUUGCUUCUUAAUUAAUCAUUAUCUCGACAUGGCUAAGAAAACUUAUCGUUAAGUUUUCCCAUGAAAGCCAAAACAAAACCUUUUUUUGAUAAUUACAUGAGAAUCAUGAAGUUAGAAAAGUAAUUAUAAAAAUACUCUAAAAUUAAGCGGAAGCCUCAGGAUCGAUAAGUAAAAGACCUUUAACUAAAACACAAACUAAUUGUGCCUUCAGUUUGUCAAAAAUUUGUUCAAACAGAUUACCUUUAAUCCGAACCCUCAAGCUUUGCAAAUUUCUUGGCAGAUUUGUAUCUACAGACAAAAUAAUACAACUACACGCAGAAGUAAUUUCUGCAAAUGGGUCAAAUUAAAAAUAAUAAUAAUAACAUCUAAAUAAUUAUUUGCAAAGCCAAUAUGAUAAUCAAUCCACAUAUUGAAUUAUCAGCAAUUAAAUCAAUGAAUCGUAUUAUUUGCAGAAGCUUUACACAUUGUAAAGGAUAAAAGUGAUGGCAUGAUACGUUACCAUUAUAUUCAAAACCAACCAUGAUCGAAAUUCUGAAUCUUAGACGAGUUGAGUGGCUCUGAUACCACAUGUAAGAUGUAAUAUGAAAAUCAACAAGUUACUAAGAUUACAGAUAUAACAAAUAUACUACAAUAAACCAAUCAAACAAUUAAAGGGAAAUAAACUUAUCUUCCAAAGCAGAGGAAGAAGACGCCAUGACUGCUAGGGUUUCACAGGUUGUCUUCUACUUCCAAUACUUCAAAAUGUCUCUCUACUGUGAAUAGGGUUUGGCGUGAUUGAGAGUACAAGUGUAUGGAAGCAGGGACUUAACCAUGGUAUUUAUAUCAUUAGGGUUUUCAUCACAUCCGACCUAUCAUUGGCUGUACCAAUCUACCCUAUCUCUCUAGUAUUUAAGUCCCACCAUGAUACGAUAUCUUUGUAAUAAAUCUAUCAGAUUUCCUCUAGGUUAAUUGCAAGGGAUAAGACUCCAUAAUCCUUAUUAGGUUAGGACUAUCGGAUCACUUUGGUUGCUAACCACUCGAUAGACUAUUGGCUUACAACAAAAAGAUCCAAUACAACAUUCAUUGUCAUUCACAGUCUUACAUUUUUCUGAUAGGGCAUGAACUUGCAAGGCAGACGAGCACAGGAGUCGACUCAUUGAGUUAAUGGCGGCACGAGUUAGAGAUUGUAGUGGGGAAGACGGAUGAAAUAGAAUUUGGGAGGAGCGGGGAAGACAGAUCGGCCGCCAGGGAGGGGCGCUGUCAUUGUGGGUUGUUGGCUCGACUGUCGAGAUUUCUAUUAUUUAGUUUUAUAUUUUAUUUAAUUGAUUUUCUUAAAAAUUAAAUCAGGUAGACUUUAGUGGGGCACGUGACAUCCUCCGAUUAGAUGGGUAAACAAAGUGUCUAUUGUCACAUACAAGUAUAUGGAUUAUGAUGAUCUCCCAUUCUCUUUCCAUUCCCUUCCAUCAUUCUUUUCAUAUUCUCUAUUUUGUCUUUCUCUUUCUAUAAAAAUAAUAAUAAUAAUAAUAUAAGAUGUUGAUGUGGCUUAACCGUGACCAUUCAAAUAAGAGGGGAGGGUAAAAAAAAGGGAGUAUUUUUGCUCAUCACCAUUUAGUGUGGUAUAUGCUCACCACUUUAUUUAUCACUAUUAGAUGAGUUUGAAUUUCGAAUUGGUGUAGUAGAUAGGUAUAAAUCUCGAAAUUCAAACUUAUCUAAUGGUGAUAAAUAAAGUGGUGAGCAUAAACCACACUAAAUGAUGGUGAGAAAAAAUGCAUUCUAAAAAAAAGAGGGGAGAGAAUCCUUCUCCCAAGUAUAUACCACCAAUGGUGCAAAGGAGAAAGGACAAUGUGAGGAAAGCUAAAAUUUUAAAUUAAAUUUACAAAUUAAAUAAUGUGUAACAAAAAAAAAAAUUAAUGUGCUUGAAACACAAAGUUGUACACCAUGUGUCUCUAACAAGUGGUGAGAUUCUUGUGUUGAAAAAAUAAUAACAUAAAACAUAAAAUUUCCCACCACUUAUAUAAUAACACGUGUACCACUUGCAUUACGGGCAUAAGGAAAAAUUGCUAGUGUCACCAAUAGGUGCACGUUAAUCAAUACUUACAUAAUAAUUUAAUCAUCAACUACAUCGUUUGGUUUAAAAAUUUAGUAUCCUUAACAUUAUCCAAAGAGAAAUGCUAAGAGACUCAAAGGGUGAGAUUCUGCAAUUUCACGGUUUGAUGUUGAUUUGCAUGUCAAUGUAUAAAACAAUGUUGAUCCAAUCACACACAAGUAUAUACCACCAACGGUACAACUAAGGAGAAGUUUCGAACGAUCCCGCUACAUCAGGACCCUUUUAGAGCAUGUUUACGUACACGUAAUGGGAAUCAAAACAUGAAAUUAUAUUCCGAUUACGGACCAUUUCUAUGUUUACUAAAUUUUAAGGAAUCAAAAAUAUAGUGGGACCCACACAAAGUUUGGAAUUCAAUUCCUCACUUUGGAGGAAUUGGAUCCCUUGAUAGUAAGUGGUAUUUGAGUUUCGGAAGAAUGAGGGAAUGGGGAAUCCAUUUUUCAUACCCAUAAUGCCCUCACAUAAUUGCUGAAAUUCCAAUGAUAAAACAAGCACAGGUGCCCAGCGCUAGUCUGUUUCCUUCUCCCUCACUACCGCCCCCUUCCUGUCUUCCCAAGGCCACAUACCCACCAUCAUCUUCUUAGACAACAACGACAGCCAUAAAACAAGAAUAAGCGAAAGCUGAAGAAGAACCCAUUUUAGUUUUUUUUUAUUUUAAACAAUGCUAAAAACCAAACUCCGGACAUUCAAUCAACAUGAAAUACCCCGUAAACUAAACUUCAAAGAAAUUACAUCACCACAACCAACACUUCCCAUAGGCCUCAAACCAACCGUGAAUUUCAAAUUGUUGAAAGAUGAUUGAGGCAGAGAUAGAGAGAACGGUUGGGUUGGGGUUUGGGUUAGUUUUUUAUUUUUAAUUUUAUAUCAAUUGACUUGAUUUCCUGUAAGUUUUUAUAAAAUAUUUAUUUAUAAUAAAAGACAUUCUAGUAAUCAUACAAAUUUUCAUUCCGAUCAAGUGAAUUAGUAAACAACUUACAUUCAAACAAGACCAUUUAUACUCUGAUUCCAGAUUUAAUGGAAAUCUGGAUUUCAAUUCUCCUCAAUUCAAUUCAAUUCCCCCUCAAUCCAAUUCUGUCUAUUUUGAUUAAGGAUUAAUAAACGAACCCUUAAUGUUGAACAAAAGUCAGUACUUUACAUUAAGCUAGAACUAAAAAGGCUACUCCUAGUAGAAGUGACAGAAUUAUUGUUGAGUACGUAGCAAAAUUAUUAAGCAUUUGAGCUAGAACUGUUCGUACAUUUUUUAUCUGGCCUGGUCGAGCAGUGGUACAGCUACAGAGUACUAAUUUAUAUGCCUAACGUUAUAAAACUACAAUAAUAUUUCUCAAUUAUUUUAUAAUUUAAUUUGUUGACACUUCUCAACUGAAUUAUGAAAGCACCGCCGCGAGCCCAGGGACAAGAUACCUCGAGUCCUGACGCAUUCAGGUAUUGUCGCAUAGAUAAUCAUAAGUAAAGUUCCACCAGAGAGAACCAAAUUUGACGAGUUCAGCGGCUUAUACUUUUAUGGGUAUUUGUAGUAUGAUUUUCUUAGAUUUAUUAUUUACAUUAAACGUAUUCGUUUAAAUUUUUUAGAUUAGUGACCGAUUAAAUAUUCAAAUUUCAACUCAAAUCAGAGAUAUAUGAGAACGAACAACUUUUUCUCAAACACCAUUUUUUGUUCUUUGGGAACCAAAAUACAUGGAAAAGUAAAGAUAGGAGCAGCUUCAUCGAUCAAAAUUAUCGAGCACAAACACACACACCAAUACCAUCGAACUACCCGGAAACCAGAACCAGAACAGACCAUGACCCUAAAACACAACCAGAAAACGUUAACACUAACAUCUCAAAGUCCCAAACCACCUAUAACACUAAUCUAACUCCUCCAGCUGCCGCCUUCAGCGCCACCACCUCCUCUGGA